rnacentral:lncRNA from 1 species
AUAGAAAAAAUAUAAAAUAAAGAGAAAACUUCAAAUACCACCUCUAAAAUUUUGCACUUUUUUAUUUUAGUACCCGGUGGUUUAAAGUGUAUCACUUUCGCCUGUGAUUUUAUUUUUCUCUUUUUCUUAUUCCCUCCACAAAUUUUUUUUGUUAAAUCAAUGACAACGUUAAAAUUAAAAGAUACUAAAGUAAAUAUUUGAUAAAUCUAGAUGGGGUAUCUGAAGUUUUUUGUAUAUAAUUUAAAGAAAUAUUAAUAAAGGAACUGAUGAAAAGAGAAAAAUGAAACCUCAUGGUACUAAAUUGGUAUAUUUUAAAUCACAUGAUACUAAAGUGAAAAAGUGUGAAAGUCCAAGGAUGAUAUUUGAAGUUUACACAAUAUUAAAUUAAUCGUAAAGAGUUGAAGAUAUGAAUCCAGAGAUAAAAAGUAUAUAUAUUUCGCCAAAAGUGGAGAGAAGUAAAACUGUUUCGAUCAUAAAUAUUUUGUUUAGUUCGUCGUACACUAAAUUCGUUUAUAACUUCACUUUUCAAAAUAUUGUAAUUGACUUCGCCAGUGAUUACAAUUAUGGAAGAAAAGGAAAUAAAAAAAUAUUUAUUGUAAUAUUUUUUUUACCCUCUUAGUGCUAAUAAUAUAAAACUUUUUAAUAAAAUAAAAUAAUUACAGUUUCAAAACUACUAACUUUUAAUCAAACAACAAUUAAAAUAAUAAAUUUUAAAUAAAUUUUAACUCAACUGAAAAUUAUUUUCAAUCAGAAAACCAAUUACUCAGAAACAACUCAGAAACAGAUAUGCUCGAGAGUACGAUGACAACCGACGAAUCUGAGCCGUCUAAAAUAAAACGGACGAUCAGCUAGUACUUUCGUGGGUGGACUACGCGUCAUAGCCGUCCGAUCUUCAUCGGACCGCUGACGUUUCGCCCCAUCUCCACUCCACGAAACGGUAACACCUGUUUCCGUUCGUGCUUGAUCGGUCUUACCAUUUAGACUUCGUUUGGGAUUGCGAAAAAAUUACAUUAUAUACGAUGAGAAAGUACGUUGGAAAAAUAUUUUAUUUGUUUUCGUAUUCCGUAUAUCGCGAUGAGUUGGUUACGAUAUAUUUUCUGUAUUAUCUGAUGGGACCACAGAAAAUAUAUCGUAAUCGACUCAUCGCGAUAGAUAUAAAGGCCUAUCUAACGCUAUUAAAUAAAAUAGAGCUGAGAAAAAAACAUAUCGGGAUAUGUUUCUGCGUUCUCGGAUCGCAGAAAAUAUAUCGUAACCGACUCAUCGCGAUAUACGGAACGCAAUAUUAUAUACGGAAACAAAAAUAAUAUUUUUCUAACGUACUUUCACCACACAUAAUGCAAUCCCCUCAAUCCCAAGCGAAAGCUUUAAUAAAAUAAAUUAAAUAAAUAAAUAGGUUAAAAUGUACGGAGAACCCUCAACUCUCAUCUAUUUGGAAUCAAAUCCUCUUAAUCAUUUUUUAAAAAAAUAAAGUAUUUUUAAGGCAAAAAAUGGAGUUUUAUUAACUUUAUUGACGAUUUUAUUAAUUUUAAUAAUUUUAAUUAUAUUAGCUAAUAAAGACGUAAGGGAAAAAACUAAAAUAAAAUAAACUUUUCUUUUUUGAGGAAAGAUUAUAAAAUAGCUGGAGUAAUAUAAUUUCAAAUAAUCAAGUGUUGUGUAAAUUAAAAAAGUUUAAGUUACGGGACCAUUACAAAAGAGCCUCUUGUGGAGGAAUCUCUGUAUAAUUUUAACGUAAUAUAUUUGAUUUAUGAAAUAAAUUAUCUCAUUAGAAAAAUAAAAAACUUAACGAUCAAAUAUAAUAUACUAUUUUAAAUAUUUGAUCACACUUCUCGCCUACUAAAUGCCAUAAAUUUCUUAACUAAAUCACAUAAAAUGCUGUAUAAGAUGUUAAUGCAUCCAAACAUUAACAUUUUACCUCUAAAAAUAAAAGGACCAAGCUGCAAUUCUAGGAUAGUUUGGAUACCUCUAAACCUUUACAUUUUUUUUUAUAAACAUCCCUCUUUUAAUUUUAGUAAUUAGACUCACUGCAGGUAUCAAUUAAAUAAAUAUACCUCACUGCUCAAUUAAAAUUAGUAAUUAGACAAUUAUUUUGGUUGCAUGUCAUGCAUACUAGUGUAGGUAUUCGCAUGUUGCAGCGAGUAGUUAUUGUUGAAGUAAAAUUANAAAGGACUAAUAACACGUGAAAGGUUAAUGAAAUAAGCGAUAUCUCAGACGGCAAAGAAUAAUACUAAUGUUUGAUUAGAAACCAGGACAAUGUGAUUAAUGCAAAUUGACAGAAACUUCAAAUUAUUUUUCUAGUUAAUGUAUCGAACUGACAUCAAAUUUAACAAACUUUAAUGUUUCUAAUAGAACAAAAGAAAAAUAUGCAUUGUUGAGAGUACAUUCCUAACCAGACAGUUUUAAGACGAAAAUUACCUAACCUACUUCAAUCAGGGAUUAGCCCCUGAAUAAGCAUUGAGGAAAAUCUCCACUUUGUAUGGGCCAAAUCUUCUUCCAAAAUUAUAGAUUGCAGUAGAAGUUUAGCGAAGGCAUGAUAAAAGAAAAAAGAAAGAAAAGAAAGACAAUAUUGUCGAUGUAGUUAAGAAGGUAAAUGACAGGAGUUACCUGGACUAUUGAUUCCUUAAGUUUUGCAUGGAGGCGAGACCCUGUAUCUUUGAUGCUUGUAGGAGGCCAUAGCUGCAACAAAGAAGUUAUUCAUUAACAUAAAACUUAUGAAUAAACAACCAGGAAAGAAUUAUACAAGCACUGAAUAGCAAAUAUAUUGGAAAAAAUAUGAAUGCCAAAAGUGAAUAUUCAAUAAGUAGAAAUUGCAUGUUUCGCCAAAAUGUUCUAGAGAAUCACAAAAUACUUCCUCCCCUAGAUACAAGUGCAAAAAGAAAAGGUGAAAACUAAUGACAUUUAAUUUUCCAUGACAUCUAAUAUUGUUGCUAUGCCAUUAUACUUUAGGGUGAUGACACUCUAUCAAUAUUUUCUUUUAUUAAUAAUAUUUUGAUUAUUCUGUCAAAUGCCAACGGUAGAAUUAUCAGAAUAGCAAUGAACUAUAGACUAAAAAAGGUAAACUAAAAUAGAUUAGACCAAUAACUACAAACUAAAAAAUAGCUUGAGUGCAAGAGACUUCGAAAUUAAAUCCAGACCUAGAAGGAAUUUGAGAUAGAGAAAGCUAACUAUGAAAGAAGAGUUCACUUUGAAGUAAGACAGAAUUUGAGAUACAACCAUCAGGACCAAACUAUCAUUUAAAACUUUUAAUGCCUUUUAUAUAAUUACGGAAGGCUAUGUAUCUUUCUCAAAAGUUUUUUUUUUAAUGGCUAAGCCUCCUAAAAUAACAACUCCUGGCAUACAGGUAGAUGGGAAAAGGAAAAGGCUACAGAACAGCAACGUUUGUUUGUUUGUAAUUUCAGGCAAACACAAUAACAUGAUAUAAUCAAGAAACUACAAGAAAAUAAUAAUAGAAUUAGAAAGAUACUUCUCAAAGUAAGAACUUACAGGGGUAGAACAUGCAGGACACACGUAUCCAGCUGGUGCAGUUUGAGUUGGAAAACUUUGAAUAUGCGAUACCAGGCAUUUUGUGUGCAUGAGAUCUGCAAAGUAAGCCAAACGAAGAGUAUCUUAGCAACAAUUUGAGAGAAAUGAUAUCUUGAGAAAAAUUUAAACAAAAAAAACUGAUUACAGUAUCACAUACGCAGGCAACCCAAUCGGGUGGUUUGAUCACUUCCUUCUUCCAGCACUGAAUUACACAGAGAGCACUUAGGAGGCCAGUCAUAUUCCCCAUCGACUACCCAAUCUGAGUACUUCUUAACCUAAAUAUUGAGAUAAUACGUGUGAUUCUCACAUUGACUGAACCAACCAAAAAAAAAAUCGUUGUAUUUACUAUCAAGAAGUAAGGAGGUUACCACACAGAUUUGGUGUUCUGGAAAACAGAUGCAUUCCCCGCAGACAGGGACCUUGUGGACAAAGCAAUAAAGCCUGGUUGCCUGAAAAACAAUUUUUUUUCCCAAUAAAAACAUAUAACAAAUUUAUUGGCUAUUUAAGAAACUAGUAUAGAGAUAGGUGUGAACUUCAACACAAAGUCAUAGAAUUGUCCAUUUCCGUGACAUAGCUAAUAUUUACUCAAUAGCAAUGAUAUAUCCGCAAAAUUAAUGUGCCACAUUUUAACCAAAGGUGGAAAAUGUACAGGGACACCCUGCCAUCUUUAAACAUAUACCCAUCAACUUUUCUCUUUUGAUUGACACACUCACCUUCCAACUUGAGUUAUUUUCCUAAAUUGAAUUGAAAAUUUAUCCAAAUUAGCAGCUCAAUUAGCAAGAAGCAAGCCUUAAACAGUUUUAAUGAAAUACGUCAUUUCGUCACCUGAAAAAAAUGUUCAGAAGAAUUAAAUUUAACAGAAUAACCCUUAGAGUUAACAAAAUCCCCUAUGUGAUUGAUAGAAGUAACUUGGAUCAAAAGAAUCAAAAUUUAGCCAGUGCCAAACAAAAAUUAUAGCAAUAAUGAAGUUAGAGGGCUUAUUUCAAAACGACCCAUAAUUGGGGGGGUCUCCAUACAUUUUACAUUAAAUGAAUCAAAGAUAGACUCAAAACCCUAGUAGCCCUCUUCUCUCCUAUCGCACGAAAUCGAGUGAUUUAAUCAAAUAUAUUCUUUUAAGAAACAAUUGGUUUCAUGCACUUAUUAACCUAAUUAACCCAAAAUCCAGUUCUUAAUAUCAUAAACAAGUUCCCUAUCACACUCCGAACGCACUAAACGCACUCCCAACAAUUAAUGCCAAAAACAAAUCGCCAAAUCGAAGCCCUAACUAUAGAUCGACUUAUUGAACACCACAGAUCUCAAAUCGCGCAAAUUAUCACACCUAAUAGAGUAAUUACUGGAAAAUUUCGUGAAAAUAGAGCAAAAAUUAGAUGAGGAGAUUUGGAUCGGAAGUUACCUUGCGACAUUUACAAACAACCAUCGAAUCAAAGGAGAUUUCCUUGUAAAAGGCAACAAAUUGGGAUUAAAAAGAUCGAAGAGGGAUCGGAGAUGAAUAGAGGUUCGCGAAGACGAGCAAGAGAUCUGAGAGAGAGAGAGAGAGAGAGAGGGGCUUAGAAAUAAAUGGGAGGAAAAUGUUUAGGGAAAAAUGAUCAGAGACCCCUGAACUUUGCUAUUUCGUAAACAGGCUCCUGAACUCUUAAUAUUACCAAUUAGAUCCCUAAAAUUAGAGCGGUCGUAAAAUCGCAAUUCAGCGCACUGUUCACGAGCCAGCUCAUAUUCGGCUCGAAAUGAACUCAAGAUCGAAUUGCUAGACAAGUUGAACAUGACUUAAAUUUUUCACCUUAUUUAAUAAAUGAACCGAACACGAUCUGAGGUUAACUCGCUUGUGUUCGGCGGUAAUAACUCGAAUACAUAUAUUUUAUAUUUAUAUAUAAAUAAAUAAUUAUAUAUAUAAUAUAGAUUUUUAUUAUUUGACUUUUAGUCUAAUCUUAAAUAUAAAGUCCAAAUCAAUUAUAAAAAAGCCCAUUUAUAUAUAACAAAUUUAUGAGAUCUUAAGUAUUAAUUACUUUAUUAAAUUUUAAUCUAGGUUGAAACUUUAUAUAUAAAUGGGCUUUUUUAUAAUUGAUUUGGACUUUAUAUUUAAGAUUAGACUAAAAGUCAAAUAAUAAAAAUCUAUAUUAUAUAUAUAAUUAUUUAUUUAUAUAUAAAUAUAAAAUAUAUGUAUUCGAGUUAUUACCGCCGAACACAAGCGAGUUAACCUCAGAUCGUGUUCGGUUCAUUUAUUAAAUAAGGUGAAAAAUUUAAGUCAUGUUCAACUUGUCUAGCAAUUCGAUCUUGAGUUCAUUUCGAGCCGAAUAUGAGCUGGCUCGUGAACAGUGCGCUGAAUUGCGAUUUUACGACCGCUCUAAUUUUAGGGAUCUAAUUGGUAAUAUUAAGAGUUCAGGAGCCUGUUUACGAAAUAGCAAAGUUCAGGGGUCUCUGAUCAUUUUUCCCUAAACAUUUUCCUCCCAUUUAUUUCUAAGCCCCUCUCUCUCUCUCUCUCUCUCUCAGAUCUCUUGCUCGUCUUCGCGAACCUCUAUUCAUCUCCGAUCCCUCUUCGAUCUUUUUAAUCCCAAUUUGUUGCCUUUUACAAGGAAAUCUCCUUUGAUUCGAUGGUUGUUUGUAAAUGUCGCAAGGUAACUUCCGAUCCAAAUCUCCUCAUCUAAUUUUUGCUCUAUUUUCACGAAAUUUUCCAGUAAUUACUCUAUUAGGUGUGAUAAUUUGCGCGAUUUGAGAUCUGUGGUGUUCAAUAAGUCGAUCUAUAGUUAGGGCUUCGAUUUGGCGAUUUGUUUUUGGCAUUAAUUGUUGGGAGUGCGUUUAGUGCGUUCGGAGUGUGAUAGGGAACUUGUUUAUGAUAUUAAGAACUGGAUUUUGGGUUAAUUAGGUUAAUAAGUGCAUGAAACCAAUUGUUUCUUAAAAGAAUAUAUUUGAUUAAAUCACUCGAUUUCGUGCGAUAGGAGAGAAGAGGGCUACUAGGGUUUUGAGUCUAUCUUUGAUUCAUUUAAUGUAAAAUGUAUGGAGACCCCCCCAAUUAUGGGUCGUUUUGAAAUAAGCCCUCUAACUUCAUUAUUGCUAUAAUUUUUGUUUGGCACUGGCUAAAUUUUGAUUCUUUUGAUCCAAGUUACUUCUAUCAAUCACAUAGGGGAUUUUGUUAACUCUAAGGGUUAUUCUGUUAAAUUUAAUUCUUCUGAACAUUUUUUUCAGGUGACGAAAUGACGUAUUUCAUUAAAACUGUUUAAGGCUUGCUUCUUGCUAAUUGAGCUGCUAAUUUGGAUAAAUUUUCAAUUCAAUUUAGGAAAAUAACUCAAGUUGGAAGGUGAGUGUGUCAAUCAAAAGAGAAAAGUUGAUGGGUAUAUGUUUAAAGAUGGCAGGGUGUCCCUGUACAUUUUCCACCUUUGGUUAAAAUGUGGCACAUUAAUUUUGCGGAUAUAUCAUUGCUAUUGAGUAAAUAUUAGCUAUGUCACGGAAAUGGACAAUUCUAUGACUUUGUGUUGAAGUUCACACCUAUCUCUAUACUAGUUUCUUAAAUAGCCAAUAAAUUUGUUAUAUGUUUUUAUUGGGAAAAAAAAUUGUUUUUCAGGCAACCAGGCUUUAUUGCUUUGUCCACAAGGUCCCUGUCUGCGGGGAAUGCAUCUGUUUUCCAGAACACCAAAUCUGUGUGGUAACCUCCUUACUUCUUGAUAGUAAAUACAACGAUUUUUUUUUUGGUUGGUUCAGUCAAUGUGAGAAUCACACGUAUUAUCUCAAUAUUUAGGUUAAGAAGUACUCAGAUUGGGUAGUCGAUGGGGAAUAUGACUGGCCUCCUAAGUGCUCUCUGUGUAAUUCAGUGCUGGAAGAAGGAAGUGAUCAAACCACCCGAUUGGGUUGCCUGCGUAUGUGAUACUGUAAUCAGUUUUUUUUGUUUAAAUUUUUCUCAAGAUAUCAUUUCUCUCAAAUUGUUGCUAAGAUACUCUUCGUUUGGCUUACUUUGCAGAUCUCAUGCACACAAAAUGCCUGGUAUCGCAUAUUCAAAGUUUUCCAACUCAAACUGCACCAGCUGGAUACGUGUGUCCUGCAUGUUCUACCCCUGUAAGUUCUUACUUUGAGAAGUAUCUUUCUAAUUCUAUUAUUAUUUUCUUGUAGUUUCUUGAUUAUAUCAUGUUAUUGUGUUUGCCUGAAAUUACAAACAAACAAACGUUGCUGUUCUGUAGCCUUUUCCUUUUCCCAUCUACCUGUAUGCCAGGAGUUGUUAUUUUAGGAGGCUUAGCCAUUAAAAAAAAAACUUUUGAGAAAGAUACAUAGCCUUCCGUAAUUAUAUAAAAGGCAUUAAAAGUUUUAAAUGAUAGUUUGGUCCUGAUGGUUGUAUCUCAAAUUCUGUCUUACUUCAAAGUGAACUCUUCUUUCAUAGUUAGCUUUCUCUAUCUCAAAUUCCUUCUAGGUCUGGAUUUAAUUUCGAAGUCUCUUGCACUCAAGCUAUUUUUUAGUUUGUAGUUAUUGGUCUAAUCUAUUUUAGUUUACCUUUUUUAGUCUAUAGUUCAUUGCUAUUCUGAUAAUUCUACCGUUGGCAUUUGACAGAAUAAUCAAAAUAUUAUUAAUAAAAGAAAAUAUUGAUAGAGUGUCAUCACCCUAAAGUAUAAUGGCAUAGCAACAAUAUUAGAUGUCAUGGAAAAUUAAAUGUCAUUAGUUUUCACCUUUUCUUUUUGCACUUGUAUCUAGGGGAGGAAGUAUUUUGUGAUUCUCUAGAACAUUUUGGCGAAACAUGCAAUUUCUACUUAUUGAAUAUUCACUUUUGGCAUUCAUAUUUUUUCCAAUAUAUUUGCUAUUCAGUGCUUGUAUAAUUCUUUCCUGGUUGUUUAUUCAUAAGUUUUAUGUUAAUGAAUAACUUCUUUGUUGCAGCUAUGGCCUCCUACAAGCAUCAAAGAUACAGGGUCUCGCCUCCAUGCAAAACUUAAGGAAUCAAUAGUCCAGGUAACUCCUGUCAUUUACCUUCUUAACUACAUCGACAAUAUUGUCUUUCUUUUCUUUCUUUUUUCUUUUAUCAUGCCUUCGCUAAACUUCUACUGCAAUCUAUAAUUUUGGAAGAAGAUUUGGCCCAUACAAAGUGGAGAUUUUCCUCAAUGCUUAUUCAGGGGCUAAUCCCUGAUUGAAGUAGGUUAGGUAAUUUUCGUCUUAAAACUGUCUGGUUAGGAAUGUACUCUCAACAAUGCAUAUUUUUCUUUUGUUCUAUUAGAAACAUUAAAGUUUGUUAAAUUUGAUGUCAGUUCGAUACAUUAACUAGAAAAAUAAUUUGAAGUUUCUGUCAAUUUGCAUUAAUCACAUUGUCCUGGUUUCUAAUCAAACAUUAGUAUUAUUCUUUGCCGUCUGAGAUAUCGCUUAUUUCAUUAACCUUUCACGUGUUAUUAGUCCUUUGGUUCUGACAGCUUGGAGCUUGAAUUUAGCUAGUGAUAGUGAUUUUUAAUGUAUUGCAGAGUGGCUUGGAGAAAAAUGUUUUUGGAAAUCAUGUUGUACCAAUGCCUACAGUGGAUACCCAUGUUCCUCCUGCUUUUGCUUCAGACCCACUUAUGCGUGUGUCUGAAGAUAGAGAAAUAAAUGGUGGGAAAUCAUUUGAUCCCACCAAAGAUUUGAGCACACAAUCAUCUUCAUUUUCCAAGGAGGACAAAUACCUGGUUGAAGUCAACUCAUCUACUAUCAGAAUCGAUACCCCUGAACCAGAGAUUGUUGAAAUAGAUGGUCCCAGUUCAUUAGGAAGCCAAUUCAAAAGUCCGAGUCCAAUGGGUGUAAGUAUAUCUGAGGCUAAUAACACCCUCCCUUUUGGUAUUUCUUUCCAUAUUGUUACAUACAUACCCUUAUAGAAUUACUUUUACAUAUCUAACCCUGCAAAAACUGAUUUUUUUCAUGUAUGGCCUUCAAAAACUAAUUCUUUGCAUAUAUAUACCCUUGUAUUUUAAAAAAUUUCCCUUUUGGAAAAAAAAAGCGUUCUCGAGGACGAAAGCAAUUUCUCCCAAGAAUUUGGAUAUUCCCCAGCUUGAGCGUGUUUGCAUUUUCUUUGGUAUGUAUGGAAAUUCUGAUGUUACAGGGGUAUUUACCUAAAUAGUUGAUUUGCGGGGAUCUAUAUGUAAAAUCCCCUACAGUUUUGUUGGUUAGAAUGCGUAUCCUGUGUAUCGUACAUAUGUUGAUGUGAUGGUACAAUAUUAUUAUUCUUCUACUCUUUGUAACUUUAUGCAGCCUGGUGCUACUACGAGAAAGGGUGCAUACUAUGCUGAUAAGCAAAAUUCUGAAACUUCAUAUUAUGCUGAUGAUGAAGAUGGAAGCCAGAAAAAGUAUACUAGAAGAGGUAAGUGAGAACAAUAAGAAAUUAUCACUUCUUCCUUGGACUAUCUUUCAAGUCCUUUGGUCCUAUACAUUUUCAACCUUAUAUGAUCACCCACAGAAUAUUUUUUGCUCUGCUGCUUUAGGAUUGGCUCUGUUAUGUCCAUUCUUGUUAGUUACCAACAGUGUGCAUGCAAAACCUAUUUUAAAUAUAGCAUAAAGGGUUCUUAAUGCUAUGAUGAGUCUUUUUUUCUGUUUGUCUUAUUUCUUAUACUAUUCAAUGAAUAGAAAUUUUAAUGUUUAGGUAUCUUGAAUAAAGAGGUGUCACGCACAAGGAGUUCAGUUCAUUGCAGAGGUUAUCUGUGUAGCAGAUUAAUUUUUCAUUAUGAACAUUUUAAGACGAUUUGGUAAAAUAUUCUGUGGCGGUCAUUUUUUGAUUUAUGGUGCUUAAAUGUCAACGUAUAUCUAAGAUAACCUGUCUUUUACAUCAAAAGACAACUUUCUUCACCCUUUAUAUCUAGUUUUAAUUUUCCCGGAAGGAUAGAUUGUAAAUGCUCUGUUUUACUCAUUGAUAUAAGGCUAAAUUACGGAAAACCCCCCGUCAAAACCCGCUUUUUCACUUUCCCCCUCUGUCAUUUAAAAACCUACACUUUGCCCCCUUGUAAAAUAAAAAAUGUUCACAGGGGGGUACGGUGCGACAAAAUGACCAUUUUGCCCUUCACCAUUUUCGUCUUCUCCCUCAUCCUCCUCAUCCGUGGCGGAGGAGGCCGACCUCGGGUGGGACGCAGGCGGCGAGGCCGUCGUCGAGGAGGACGAUCUCGUUGAGGGUGUCGGCCAUGCGGCCGAUGGAGGGCGGGAUGCAGCCGUCGAGUUUGUUGUGGGCGAGGACGACGAUGGAGGCCGGGGAGUCGCCGAGGUUGGCGGGGAUGGGGCGGCGGCGGCGGAGGCGGUUGGAGUUGAGGAAGAUGGCGUCGAGGGGGCGGUCGAAGAGGAGGUUGAGCUCGUGGAGGAGGGCGAGGCCGGUGAGAGCGCCGUCCCGGAAGCCAUCGAAGCAACAGGGAAGAGGAGCGAAGGGGCAUUUUUGGCAUAAAAAAAUAUUAUAACGGAACCCUAACGGUAGGGGGUUAAGUGCACAUUUUUUAUUUUACAAGAGGGCAAAGUGUAGAUUUUUAAAUGACAGGGGGGGGAAGUGAAAAAGCGGGUUUUGACAGAGGGAUUUUCUGUAAUUUAGCCUUGAUAUAAUUAUUAACAAAUUAUUUUGCAGGUUCCCUUCGUCACAAGUUCCUGAGGAUGUUACUGCCUUUCUGGUCUAGUGCAUUGCCGACACUACCAGUGACAGCGCCGCCUCGCAAAGAUAAUGCCAAUGAUGUUCCAGAAGGCCGUCUGCGACAUCAAAGAUCAUCGAGGAUGGACCCGAGAAAGCUGCUACUCACUUUGGCAAUCAUGUAAGUUUUAUAUACUCUUAUGGCGCUUCUUUCUAGAUUCUUUGCGCACUCGUUCGAUUGCAUGCUCCUUGUUUGACAUCCUUCCAUCAAAUGACAAUUUUACCCUCUUCUUGUAACAUAACUUUAUUGUUCCAUUUUAUUGGGAAUGGGAGAUAAAUGGCCAUUUCACAAGAAAAAGUUCAGCUACUCCGCAAAUGACUCUGCGCUUAGCAUGGUGAACAUCAGAUGACAAACAGAACAAGGGAUCCAAUUGCAGCAUAUAGGAAAUUUUUAAAACAAAAUGUUUUCUAAGUCGUAGCCGUGCUCGUGCAUCUAUGUUUUGACCCGCUAGAAUUUUCAUGGUAGCUCUAUAUCAAGCAGCUCAUCCUCCAAAUGUAUACGGAAUGCAGGGCAUGUAUGGGGACAAUGGCUAUUCUUUAUUACCGUUUGGCGCAGCGCAGUAUCGGUGAAAACGUUCUAGAAGACGAGGCGCAGUAGACGCUGCUUGGAAGUUCCUGCAAUUCCCGUUCCUGUUUCCUGUGAUCUCACUUCACAAUUUUACUUCUUUUUUUCUUUUUUCCUUCCCCCAUACCUCUUGUGAAUUUCUCGAGGCUAAAAUAUAGAGAUGGUUUUAAGUGCUGUUUACAGAAUAUGUUUGUGUAACUACUCAAAUGCUCCUGAGUCAUUGCCUAUCCGUAUGAGCAAUUUCAUGACAAAUGCAUUUAAUCUAUUUUCUCUGGAUAGAAAGAGUUCGAAAUUUGUUUAAUUUUUUGCUUUAUGAUAAGGGUCUUCAUUUUUUUCCCUCCGAAUAUGCUUGAUAAAUGGCUGCAGUUCUUGCAUAUUUGUAUGCAGAUUUAACACUCUUGUGAAGAACUAUAUUAAUUGGCACUUUAGAUUAACAAUUUGGUUGAUCCUCAGUUUAUAAAAAUUGGUUCAUAGAGGGGCUCUUUUCUAUUUCUCCUUAUGGUUUGAAGCACUACUUAACUGGUAAAUCGAUUUGAGAUGGUUGUGUUAUUAUUGUAGAUGUGUUUAAAUAAUGUUAUGUCCAUUUACGUUUACUUCUUAUAUAUCUUGUGAAAGCUUUUCAAGGGGUUGUUUGUUUUUGUAUCACUAGAAUGUGCCGCGAAUUUGACAUUUAAAAUGUGGCAGGUGAACAAUGUCACCCAUAUUGGCAAUCAAUCAAAUUGUGCACUAUAGCUUUAUCCAUAACAUCAUAAUUUUUUUACAAAUUUGUAUUAUAAUUUAGGUUAGAGUUAUUAUACUCUUUAUAAGUAUAGAUUUUUUUGUACUCAUAGAUUUUUAGCUGUUGGAUAAAGGGAUGUACGUUAGGAUGAUAACAGUCCCUGAUUAGGAUGAUAGUAGUACUCUAAAGUUGAGUGGGCGGUUGGUUGAAUAAUAUGAUUUUGGCGGUGAAAAUGGAUAAAAGAGUAGAUCAAACGGCCGAAAAUUUAUGAGUACAAAAAGACCUAUAUUCAUAAGAAUAUAAUAACCGGACUCUCUCUCUAAUGUAAAAUUAUUUCGGGUUCAGAUCGGAUAUAAUCAAAAUCUAUAUUUAUAUCUGAAUUCAAAUUUUUAUUUUUAAUAUUUAUAUUUGAAAUUAAAUUUGUUUAGCAUUGGAUAAAUCCGCUUUAUUGGAAUUCAAAUUCGGAUAAAAUUCGGUAUCCGUUUUGGGUUUCGGGUAUCCGUGGCCAUACUCCAUCGACAUCCCCGAUCCCCUUCUUCGCCGAUGGACUUUUUUUUUUAAAUAACCUUCUAAAAGUUUAUUAUUUAUAAAAUAAUCUUGUCAAAAUUAUAUUUAAAAAACUAAUUUCUUCAAGCCGGUGAAUAAUUUACCGCCUUCAUAAAGAUUCUAAUUUUUCACAAAAGCGGUAAAUCAUUUAUCGUCUUUCACUUGUUUAUUAUUUAUAAUCCUAACAACCAUAUAAAUAUUUCAGUAAAUCAUAUAUAAUCUUAACGGCCUUUAAAUUUUAAUAAUCUAUCUAUAAAAUUCUAACAAUCAAAAAAAUUCUAAUAAUCUAUUCAUACAAUCGUAAUAAUCAAACACCAUAUAUAAUCUUAAUUUGAAAAUCCUAAUAAUAUAUCCAUACAAUCCUAACAAUCAAAAAAAUCAUAAUAAUUUAUUCAUACAAUUCUAACAAUCAAACAAAAAUUUUAAUAUUUCACGCACAAUCCUAACAACCUUACUUUUUUUAUUUUCUAUAUAAUUUACGUACAAUUUUAACAAUCACAAUCUUUUUCCCAAAAAAUUACAAGGAAGACGGUGAAUCGUUCACCGCUUUAAUGAAUGCGGUGAACGAUUCACCGCCUUUAAAAGACCCUAGAGACUUAUAGAAUGCGGUGAAUGAUUCACCGCGUUUUGAGAAUUAGUUUGCCAAAUAAAAACUUAAUAGGGUUAUUCGCAAAUUAUAAAAUUUGAGAUCGUUAUUUUGCCCUUCGCCAACCUUAGGUCCUAGCGAGUAGCGGCUACUCUGUCCCGCUCUCUGAACCCGUCUCCUUCAUCCUCCGCCGCCGCCUCCUCGGCCUCCUCCGCCUCCGCCUCCGCCGCCGCACAAAGCGAGGUGAACCCUCCUCCUCCUCUUCCUCUUCCUCUUCCUCCUCUUCCUCUACCUCGUCAGUUGAAAUUUUCCAAUCGCGCUUGAGGACCCCUGGUGCGAGUUGCCCUCGAGAUGUUUGUGAUAAUGCCGCACUCGGUUGUCACAAAAAAAUAGACCUCUUUGUGAUUUGUAGGGAGUUGUUGAGUGUAAUCGCGCCGUCGAGGUUCCUUCCCUAGCCUGUUAGGGGUUGUUUGAUUUGGUUUGCCGGAAAAAUAUCCUAGAAAAACAUAAGUAUUGUCUUUUCGUUUGGUUCCUGGAAAAAAUAGUUUUUUUGAAAAAAUAUAGUUUUUUUUCUUUCAGAUUUUAUGGAAAAGUAUUGCUUUCGUUUUCUUAAUUUUUUUUUUUUUAUCCGAAAUGAAAAUUUUUUUCUUUUGUGUGUUGGAAAAACAGUUUUCACGCUUUUUUGACAAACCAAACACAUGCUAAUCUCUGCAAUUGAGUCCCGAAUGUUUACUAGUUAGGGGUAUAAUUUCUUUGGAGGUGGGAAAAAAAAAGUGUUCUUGUUAACAGUUGUAACGCAUAGGGUAUAUCUCAAACCAAACUUAUUGGACAAUGUAUUUAGUAAAGAGUCUAAUUAGGUAAUUUCAUGCUAAAAUAGUGUUUAAAAGAAUCUUUUUCUUGUAUUUUUGGGCGAUGCGAAGAACUUUGAUUGAAUGUUGUUUCUUUUUUUUUUUUUCUGUAAAACUCCAUUAGUAAUUUGUUGCACCCAAACUACGACCCAAAAUGCUGAAGCCAUUACAACCCAAUUAUUGAUUCGCCCAUCACAUAUUUAAUCCUUACACUUUCGCACAUUAUCCGAUGUAGGACUGUCGUCCUCGUCAGCCCGGCCCCAAUCACACACGUAAUCCAAAAUCACCAGGCGAUAUGAGGCCCUCCUCACUCUUUGAACUGGUGAACUGGCUUUGAUAUCAAUUGUAAUGACUUGACCUCCUAGCAUUAAUAACUCGUUGGGUUCAAAUCACGGUACAAAAUAUUUUAGUCCACUUAUUAGUUCUAGUGUGCCCAUUACAUAUAUAAUUCUCACACUUUUUCACAUUAUCCGAUGUGAGACUAUUGUGGUGUCACACUUUCAGUAUGGGAGAGGGUGUCAGCUGAUUACUUUUCACAUUAUUUAGGUCAUCUCUUAAUGAUGAUGGUCUGGUGGCUAAAUUAGUUGCCAUCAUCCCCUGGUUGGGAAAAUAAAAUGUGGUUUCACAGGGAAUCAAUGGCAACAUAUUAAUGUUCCGUGACCCAAGUAAAAUUUCAUGCUAAGUACACUAACCAUUGAGUGGUGUAAUUCAGCCCUAUGGGCUGUUUGUUUUCUUGAUCGAGCACCUAUUUGGCCAGGCUUGAUGUUUCGCAAAAUUUUGUUUGAACAGAACUGCUUGAAGAAGCACGAGCAAACUUUUUCAUAAAGUCUUCAUGACAGCUUCCUAUUACAGUAGAAUCAGAAGCUUUAAAUUAGACCUUAUGCUUUGGAUCCUAGAAAUUCUUUUAGCUUCUUGCUGUAGCAAAAAGCUCCAUACUUGUUAUUUGCUGGACUGGAAAGCCUGUUUCGAAAGCUAGGCCAAAUAGGCACUGAAUCUAUAAUACUACAUGAUAUAUGUAAAUGUAAUCCAUUUACCAUAGACUGUUCUUGAUUUCCAGGUUCUCUAAUCUCGACGAAAAUGGAUCCAAAAAACUCAGCUGAAAUGUCCAAGUAAUAUUUCUAGAUGCAACUCUCCUUUGAAUAUAUAUACGACAUCUAUCUAUUAUUUUGCCAAUUGACAUAAGCUAUCAUCUAUAUGUUGCGCAGGCAUUUGGAGAAGCAAAGCGAAGUGCUUAUGGAAGCAUACAGGGCAAUGUCCCAUGAGCUACACAGACUUCAGGUGGACUUGAAACUUGUGUUAGAGACUGAAAUUUUAAAAAUAAAAAGAGAGAGAUAUUUUUGGGACAUGUUUGGCAUUAAUUGUUUUUUUCAUUUUUGUUUUCCUAAACUUCUAUUCCAUGUGAAUGAAGACACCUAAGAAUGGGCUUAUCUAUUCUUCUAAUUGUUGGUUAGUUUGCAUUCUUGCCUUAAAAAAUUAAACAAAAAAGAACCAAAUAAGCAAAGAAACUACUUACUGCUCUUGUUUCAUUUAUUUUUCGUCAAAUGAAACCCAUAAAUGCAGAAUUGCAAACAAUCUGUAGUAUAUCAUAGAGGCCGUCUGCAGGCACCUUCAAUUAUGUGAAAUUUGAGGUAAACAAUAACAAAACAAAGUAUAAGCAAUGCCAGAUGUGCACAUACUAAUUGCCUUUCUUCAUGUGAAGGUGGAAGAAGAAAUGCUGAUGCAUAAACUAUACCAGCUGAUGUCUGCUGAAGGCCUGAUUAAGAAGGUAUUUUUAUGUUGUCAUUCAAUCCAUGUAUCUUAUUUUAAAUGUUACCUCAUUGAUGCAUUACUUUAUGAUUAGUCGUGUACAUAGAAUUUGACCUGUUACGACUUACGAGGAGAAUGCAGCCUUCUAUCUUUCUUUCCAGUUUCUUAUCCUUCUUAUCAUUUCUAUCAUUAAUGUUCUGAGUAAAAUUUCAUUUGGUCAUUGUAUCUUGCAGUAAAUCUAAAAAGGUGUACUUAAUUCUCUCUGCUAAUUUUUGUCCCACUAAGGAAUCAAAACCCUCUUUGAGUUGCAUGUGUACACUUCACAGCAACGAGAUAGCAUUGUAGGAUGAAGUAAGAAUUUGUCAUUUGCUGUCGAACGGGCUAGAAGAGAACCGAAUGUUUGAAAUGGAAUCCGAGAUAUUGUCUAUGUAUAUAAUGCUGGCCGCAAGUUCAAUUGAAGAGAUUCAUUGGAGCAACACCCUAAGCCAAGAUUUGGAAAUACAAUUUUUCACGAAUCCAAUCUGAGAUUUGAUGUAUUUUAUAUCCAGCAUAUCUAGGCUUGAUUUACAAGAGAUCAAAUUGCCUAAGAGAAGGUCAAGAUAUGUAAAUGAUCUGGUCAAUCCUUAAUCUUGUUAGAAUUCCGAGUCUGAUACCAAAUAUAUGUAGUUAUUGAAUGCUCUAGGCUGGUCGUUAGGAUUUGUCGGGUCUCUUGUUGGUGAACCAGUGCAGAACAACAGACUCCUUGAGGCCGUGAGCCGUGAUCUGUAUUUCUUCCUCUAUGUUCAUUUUCCAUUAAAGAAAGGUCGCAAUAGCUUUUAAGCCCUUCGUCUGCUUCCAUUGCCUUCUUGUUAGACUUCCAGGUAUCCAAAAAGGUCCUCGUCUUUUCUAGAGCUUUCGAAGGUCUCAUAUCUCGAGAAAUCUCCUAACAGCCUUGAAAUAAAAUCCUCUACAUACUGCAGAAAAAGAAAUGACUUGACAGUUUUUGCAAAGAUAUCUAAAAAUUGAAAGAGCAAAUCUCCCUGUGUUUCUCAUCCUCCUUUACUUGGCGUAACGGUCUCGAAUCUUUCAUGCAGGAUAAGAAAGGAGUGCAGCAGAAAUCAGAGAAGGAUUCAAGUGAAUCAGCGCAGGGAAUUUAAUGUGUCGUGUGAACAUGAACAGGGCCGUCUCGCCUCAACAAGUGGAUUGGACUCGGUCGGUCUUUGAUGCCGAUCUACUCUUAGCACCAUUCUUCUUCUUGAUGACAGAUCGAUCAUUAAUUUCUGCUCGUGGUUGAAUCAUGAGGAUCCCCCCAUUCACGGAAAUGGCGAGCUCGGAUGUUCGUCUGUAGCCAAUUUACUGAAGAGAGUUUUUCUUUUUUGAAAUAGUUUGGAUUAGUUUUUUUUUGUGUUCGAUUAUCUGCAUUGUAGUUUGAUAACCCCCACACGGAAUCGGUGUACAAAUAGCUAAGUAUCAUCUAAAAGUAUAUCAAUGUGUAAAUGUUUAACUUAUAUUUUCUUUCAUAUGCUUGAUAAUAACAAAAAGUUGUUUCUAAUUAAUUUGCGCCCAGUUGCGUUGAUCACUGUUCUCAUGUUGGUGGAGUUGAAGCUUCUUCGAAAGCUCUGUUUCGGGCAAAACCAUUUGAGGGAGUUUUAACAUUUGAACCUAUCAAAGUAAGAGCUUCAAAUCCAAGUUUCUAAUUUUACUACUUUUUUUGUCGCAGCGAAAGUUUCAUAUAAAAGCUUUUUCUUGCGGCAUGUCCGAUACUUUUUUUCCUGGAGUUGAAAUUGUGUUUAGAUUAGAAGCACUGUUUUAGAAAUUUAAUAUAAUUAGAAUUAGAAAAAACUUCAAAUAUCGCCCCUCUGGUUUCACAUUUUUUUACUUUAAUAUCUUGUAAUUUAAAAUGUAUUAAUUUAGUGUCUUGUGAUUUUAUUUUUAUUUUUUUUUAUCGAUUUCACUAAUUUUUUUUGUUAAAUCAGUGAUAAAGUUAAAAUUAAAGAGUACUAAAAUAAAUAUUCGAUAAAUUUGGAUAGAGUAUAUUAUAUGCAAAAUAUUAACAAAAAAAUUAACGAAAAGAUAAAAAAUAAAACAACACGACACUAAUUUGAUAUACUUUAAAUCACAUAAUACUAAAAUAAGAAAGGGGGAUACCAUAGGGGUGAUAUUCGAAGUUUACUUUUAGAAUUAUAAAAAGCUAGGAGUUUUUAGGCCUAAAAAAAAAAAAAAAAUCGCACUAUAAACCCAUUUCAGAAUUGCAAAUAGUUGAGGGGUCUUCAAGCAUAUUUCACCCCUGCUCUCUACUUCUCCAAAAGCUUGACGAACCCAAACACACUCUCUCUCUCUCUCUCUCUCUCGUGACAAUGUCCUCCGCUUCCCCACACCGAUCGUACGGCCACAAGGGCUCCUCCUCCUCCUCCUCCUCCUCCUCCUAUCGAAACCCUAAUAAAAGGUUCGUCCCCAAACCCCACCCCUCUCCCUCCUCCUCCUCCUCCUCCUCCUCCGAUCCUCCCAACCCCACGCCGCCGCAUCCGACGCUCACCACCUCCCUUAGGGCAUCCUCCGAUGCCUCCUCCUCCUCCUCCCGCUCCGGAUCCAAGGCGGGGCGCAGCGGCGGCGGCGACGGCGGCGGCGGAGGGGGAAACUUCGUCGCCUACCUCCCCCAGGACGAGGCCGUCGCCUCCGGCCUCGGCGCCGACGCGGGCGGCCUCGACGCCGUGGAGUCGCAGGCCGUCGUUGACCUUCUCAACGACGAGCUCGCCAACCUCCUCGCGAUGAAGCCGAGGGACUUCUGGCGAGAAGGUGCGGCGACCCGUAGCCCCUUCAAACCCUAAUCUCUCUCGCUGAAAUCUAAUUUGUUUGUGCUUUGUUCUUUUCAGUGGUGGGGAAUGAUUCGUUGCAUGAGUUCUUGGAUAGUUACUUGCAGUUCAGGCACAGGUGGUACGAUUUCCCACACCGCGGGGCGAGGGGAACCGUCGCAGGUGUCGUCGUCGGGGAGCUCGAGCUCUGCCGGAGGGUCUUUAUGGUCCUCUAUCGGAUGUGAGCAUCUAAGUGUUAAUUCUUAUCUAUUUUAUAGUUUAGGAUUUUCUUUGCAUUUGUAUGUUAAUUGUAGUAUUGGGAAGUAACCGAGUUCUCUUAAGUUGAAGGGUAAUCUGAAUAUAACUUUUCUGGCAUAUCUCCUUGCGUCUACGAUGAGUGAGAAGGAAUAGAUAAUCCCAACUUAUAAAGAUAUAUCAUAUACCUCCUAGAUCAUUAUAUGAAGUACUAUCUUGAAAAGUCAUGAUUAUUGUGGAGUGCAGUGGAUUAAAAUUGAAUUCUUUUGUCAUGUUCACUGGUGGAAACACCCUUUGAACACAGGUCAUCGCUAUACAUUUUGUUCCAACCAUAGUUUGAAAAGGCGCGCUUGAGGCACACGCCUCAGCGCCUAGGUGCGAGGCAGGUGCGAGGCGCGGGCCUCAGCGCCUCAACAAUAGCAAGGCGCAGCGCUAUAGCUGAGGUGCGCGCCUUAGGUGAGGCGCGAGGCGCGCGCCUCGCAAUAUCUAAUAGUAUAGGGUUUUUGGAUCCAAGUUUCGGGAUUGUUGGGUUUCGGAUUUAAGUUUUAUAUUUUAACUCUAUAAGAUAAUUAAAAGAUCAGAAACCCCCAAAAAACCCUAGUGAAUUCCAAUUCUUCUGCCCCUCUUCUCUCUUGCUCGUGUUCCCCUAUCUCUCUGUCCGUGGGCAUACAGCAGCAACAUCAGUCAUUGCUGGCAGUAGGAAAAAGCAAGCAACAGCUGUCGUAGCAAGAAAGCAACCUGCUGCAAUAGUUUUCAAGUUGCAGCGGGAGCAAAAACAGGAGCAGCGAUAGCAAGAAGACAAGAACCAGCAUGAGGCGCGGGCCUUCUUGAGGCGGAAAGAAAGCAAUCUGCUGCAGAAGUUUUCAAGUUUGCAUGUGUUUUCUUUGCUUUUGAUAGUUAUUUUUAUUUUUGUAUGAUUAUUUUGGGGUUUUUUUAAUGUAGAACAUCAAACUAAAUUAAGUUUAGUAAAUGUACUCCUCGCUUUCUUGAGGCGCGCGCCUCGCAGUGCGCCUCGCACCUAGGCUCCAAGAGAGUCUUGCGUCUUUUUGCGCCUCACGCCUUUUCAAACACUGGUUCCAACAUCCAUACAAGCACUAAGUUGCUAGUGUGAAGUAUUUGAAUAUCUUAUUUUCAGAACUUACUCUCACAGUUGGGCUCCAUUUACGUUAAAUGGAUGGAGAUUUUGCCUUCCUAAGUAAAUGACUAGUGGAAAUUAGGAUAUCUGCAUUAAGAACUUCUUUCUAUAAUUCAAUUUGAAAAAACCAAAUUUUCUAAAAUCUUAAAUUGGUAGAGAAGAGUGGUAUUUUGAUAUUUCAUGCUCCACAAAUAGUGUGAUAAUGUAAUAAAGUUGUAGUAGCUCAUACUGGUAAAUUUACCUAUGUUAUAUUUUUUCUGUUUGCAUUAUAGAUCUUCCAGCAAGGAUCCAGGGGCAAUUAAAAGUGAUUCUCUUAGUGUGAAAGAGCACACGGGUGUGUUUUUGUGUUUUCGCUUUGUAUGAUGCUUAAUCUAUUAUCUGGAAAUUGUCUACGAUACUACUCACUUGGUCUCUUGAUAGCCCUAUUGCAGGAAAAGAAGUUGCUUGACUUGCCGAAGUUGUUGGAUAUAUGUGCCAUCUAUGGGCAUGAUAAUGGAGAGCUGACUCGGUCGUUGGUAGGGGCUAAUUGUUUUAUUCUUUUCUUUUCAAUUAUUUCUGUGCCACUUUUUAUUGGUGUUUGAUUAUUGUUGAAAUGAUGUCCUCCCUCAAUUUAUUCAUUAUCAUGAUUUUGUUUCAACUAUCUACUUGGUGUGCCAUAGUAUCAAGCAGUUAGAAGAUCGCAACAACUGUAGCAAAUUAAACAAAUAUUAUUAAACAAGACGAUCAAAAUUUUUUCCCUUUUAUCAAAUCUUCAUGCAUCCAUCUUUGAUGAUUUUCAGAACAGACCAGACAAACUACAGAUCGUAAAACUACCGUCUAACCUCUGUUGAAAAAGAAAAGAUAAUGGUUUUUUCUUCUGAUUGUGUUCAUGUCCAAAACGCAGUAUUAUACUUGGAUGCCUUAAAACAGGAUCCUCAUGUUACAACUUCAGAUCUGAAAAUGGUGGUUUUUAUAGCUUUUCAGAAGCACCAUGACCUCCUAUUAGUUCAUGGUUUCAAAAUCUUAGUUUAUCUGGUUUUGUUAUGGGGAAAACUUUGUCACAGUGUUCUGGGUUCAACUGAUUGAAGUAGUGGUAAGAAAGUUUAGAAAGUGAAUUUUAGGCUUCAUCCUAAAAUAAUGGCCUAUGAGCUGCUGUCCUUAGGCACUCGUUUAUCUUUUGAAGGAAAAUAUGCAGCAUAUUCCAGAAAAAUAUGUAAUAAGCUAUGCGAGGGGUUAUUCCUAGUACCAUAUAAUAACUUUUUUUCGAGGAACAAUGCUUUGCAAAUUGUUGAAAAUCUUGCCAUUAUUGAUUAGCUUUAAGUAAAAUUUCAGGUCGUGCGUAUAAUCAAAUAAAUAAAAGAUAAUAGAAGUACUAUUUUGGGUACAGGUAAUUUGCAAAAGCUAAAUGAUAGAUUAAUUAAUAGAUAAAUGCUCCCUAUUUAAGGUUUUUAAAUAGUUGACGGAAGGUAAUUCUGAAAUAAAAAUCAAGAAGAUAAAACUUUAAAUUUCAUUAAGCUCUAUCAAAACAUUGUAAGUUGAGCUGUGAAUGGUGCGAUGUCUAAUUACUUCGGUUCAUGCACCAUUUUCUAAGUUGCACCGACUGUCGUAUUUUGCUUUCAAUUAGAUUAUUUCAGUCUUAACGCUUCGUGGAUAUCAUUGGAAGUCCCUUAUAUGUAGUAAUACAUGAAUGAUCAUUUCAUCAUAUUUUAACCAUUUUUUUGUUUCUUGUUUUUCCAGGUAGAGAAUGCUAUAAAAGCCCAACCAAAGCUCAUUGAUAAUGUUAGCACAGUGGCUUCCCAUUUCCUGAGCAUUGUUCACACAAUGCAUGAUCGUUGCAGCUCAUCUUUAGAGGUGCUCUCCUAAAAUUGUAAAAAAUAUAAUACGCCAUAUUUGUCGACAAAAAUUACGUUCCAAAUGUAUAUGCUUUUUUCGGUUCUGUUGUACUUAAGAUGACAUAUUUAACAUACAUGUUUGCAUGUGCAAAUACAGAUCCACAACAAUUAGCUGUAACUGUCUUUUCUGGGAAAAGGAAAACACCCUUUACCAUGCGGACUCUCAUUUCCUAAACUAAAGAAAUUGAAAUGGUCAAAAAUUCCUGUACAGUAUAGCCGCACCAAUGCAGAUUUAAUUAUUCCUAGAAAUAAGAAAUUGAUAGCCGGCUUCAAUUUGGGUCAAGUAGAACACUAAUCCCAAACUCCAGAACAAAAUGUUUAAUCAUCUUAAGACAAGAAGGUGGAGACUGGGGAUGCGCACUUAAUGGUCUAUUUUUGCAUUUUCAUACAAUGGAUUAUCGGCUAUGAUGAUUUUAGAUAUUGUCAUACAACCUUUAUAUUUUCAUUAACUGCUGGGAUCAUGGUAACUCUUCAGUGCCGAUUUUAGAUAUUUCAUGCGACUUUGCUAGUUCAUACAAAUUUACUUUUCACUUUGAUGCCUUCCUGAGCAUUUUAGAUGAGGUACAUUUUAGCCUGGGCAUACUCCGCUAUUUUGCUGAAAGUGAAAAAAAAGCUGAAUUCCCCCUUUUUCUUCUAUGUUGUGCACAAUGUGUGUUUUUGGGCUCUGCAUCAAAAAUUUCAGUUGACAAAAGCAAGUAUUUGCAUAGAUCAUCUGAAUAUUCAUCCUUGAAACAUGAAAACACCCUGUUGUUAAUGUUUAUACCACAAUCAACAGGUGAAAGAAAUCUUAUCUGUUUGCAUCUUUCAGGUACUAACUUUGUCAGCUGGACAUGAUGAUCAUGGAUACAUUCAACUUCACAAAGACUUUUUAGAGGCGAGUUUGCUUAAAUAAGACAAUAAAGCAGAUGUUCAGUUUGAUUUUCUUCUACUCUUUCUAUUUUGUGAGCAGAAUUUGUUCUCCUCCUCAGGUAAUGGACUUCAUAAAUGAUGCAGUGGUUACCUUGGAUUACUUUGUUGAUGCAUAUAGACCUGCAGCUUUACUGUUCUCUAUGUCAUUUGAAAUGAGGUAUACUAUCUGUUUAUUAACACAUAUCAAAUCAGACACAUAAUGUUAUGAUUUAUCUCUAUUGAUACAUCUGUUGCCGUAUUUGGUAAACCUGCUUGCUAUGCAGUUAUGGAGUCGAGGAGCUACUAAAAACCCUAGCUCGUUUGCAUGAUUCGUUACUUCCAUCAUUACAUCAAGGGUUUACAUUAAUUUCUCGUACAAUUAGCAGCAGCCAGAAGUUACCCAGUGGAACUCUAUCAGAUAUAGUUCUUAGCAUAAAUAUGCUAUCAAAAAGAAUUGUCAAAUUUAGCUGGAAACUGCUGGAGUUUAGCUAUUUAAAUGACCAAUCCAUUGAAGAUAGUCUUCUUCGAGCUGUUACCAAGAUGUUUCCAGCGAAUGUUGAGGAUCCUGCUAUAAGAGGAGAAAUUGUAAUUCAAGCCUUUAGAGAUAUUGUUGGAGAAGCUGCGUAUGGUUUACAAGAUAAUCUUGGUGGCGGGACUUUUCUUCAGAAUCUUGAGAAGGACUUUGAGAUGUUGAAUCGAAUUAACCGACUUCGGAGCAAUGGUCAAUAAUUCAUACUCAAUAACUAUGUGAAUUUACAAAAAAAGAUAAUUUAGAAACAAUUCUAUUUACAUGGUUUGGCCGUUAUUUGCGAGUAAUAUGCCGUAACUUUCUCCUCCUCUUUUUACAGGUUGGAUUUUUUUGGACGAGGAGCAGUUUCAAUACUUGUCCCAAAUUGCAACACCUUCCUCCAAGUCCUUGAACAAGGAACCUGCCUUACCUCUUUCUUCACUCAACAAUGAGUUACAAACCGAUGAAGAAGCUGCUAUUACUGAAUCCAAAAUUAGCCAAAUAAAGGACCUUUUCCCAGAUUAUGGUAAAGGCUUCCUUUCGGCUUGUCUGGAAGUCUACAAUCAAAAUCCUGAAGAAGUUAUCCAAAGGAUAUUAGAAGGAACCCUCCAUGAAGAUCUCCUAUCUCUGGACACUACCCUAGAACAGAUUCCUCCACGAAAACCAGCACCCAAGAGUACGAAAGAUAAAGGAAAAGGACUUUUACAGGAAACUGCUUCUCAAAAAGAUAAAGGAAAAGGGCUUUUACAAGAAGGUGCUCCUCAAAACAACAUUGUCCUGUCUUCCAAAAUAGAUGCUAAAAUUCAAGGAGAUGAAAAUGGUCCUUCUUCUUCUAUGCUAUCAUCGUCAUCAUCGUCAGCGUCAGUAUAUGGGCGAUACACCAGGAAAACCAAUGAAGAUUUGUCAGAUUUAGCUGUUCUUGAUUCGAGAACAGCUCUAGAUGCAGCAAAAACUGCUGUGCUUGCAGCAGAGUAUGAAUACGAGGAUGAGUAUGAUGAUUCUUUUGAUGAUUUGGGUCUAAAUAUUGUGGAAUCAGCUUAUGAGGAAUCAGAGAGCUCAGAUGAUAGGAAAGGUGCUUACCCAGAAAGAGCUUCAGCUUCGGAAACUGAAGCCUCAUCAAAUAAAUCCAACUCAAGAUGGGGCUCGCAGAAAAAGACGCAAUUCUAUGUCAAAGAUGGGAAGAACUAUAGCUAUAAAGUAUCUGGUUCGGUCGGUGUGUCGAGUGCUCAAGAAGCGGCUUUUGUGAAUCGAACGCAGAAAGAACUUAUUCACGGGCUCGGUCGCGGUGGGAAUGUGCCUGUGGGUGCUUUCGGGAAGCAGCUUCCUGAUGAAGAGAAAGACAAUGAGGUUACGAAUGAUGAUGAGGGUCUCGGAAGAGGGAGCUCAAACCCUCGCGGCAGGGGAGGGAGAAGAGGAGGAGGUCGGAAUCAUUAUAGGAAAGAUAGAGCGAUGAAGAAGCAUUUUGCCGGAUUGGGUGGUUUUUAGUCGCUCGCUGAUUCAAUGCCUUUUUCCUUGCAUAAGCGAAAAUUGUAAAUUUUUACGUGUGAGAUUUUAUACAUUGUGGAGUCCAUCUUGGGUGCUUUGAAAAGCACAUGAAUAGAGCCUACUCCUAACUUUUUACCCUUUAGAUCCAUAAUAGCAGGCAUCCAAGGGUCAAAACUUGGAGGCAUGCACUAUUUAUGUGCUUUUGAUAGUAUUCUUGCCACGCUGUAGCCUGACUAUAUUGUGCUGAGAUCACUUGUUUUGUAGAUUGCUGUUAAGUUCUUCAGUCAUUUACAGCAGAUCACAGAAGAGUACUUGUGCAGAUAAAAAUUCGGGCUUUUUUGGCAUUUGGUUCCCGCAAAAAAGUUUUUUUUUCAUAAAUAGCCUCAUCAAAUUUAUAAUUAUAAUUUUGUCCCUAUCCUUGUCACGCAAGCGUCACAUCAGCAUCACGCAAGCUGGCUGAAGAGGAGCGUUAAGUUGAACACGGAAUCAUUCACCGCGUUCAAACACGAUGAAUGGUUUAUCGUGUUCCAUAUUUAUAUUCUUUCUGUUCAAUACUUAUAUUUUUUCGUAAUACAUAUAUUUUUCUUAGACACGGUGAAUGAAUUACUGUGUUUAACUUAUUUCAGUUUACUCGCGUGGCGCUUACGUGGCGCCCGCGUGAUGGGAAUAGGGUGAAAAUUGUAAUUAUAAAUCUGGUGGGUUAUUUGUGAAAAUAACUUUUUUGAGGGGGCCGGAUGUAAAAAAAGUCCUAAAAAUUCCUUUUCAGUUGUCAAACACUUGAACUCAGAAAGCUCGUGUUGGGAUUUGGGGGUUCAUUUAGCAAAUUGUGUAUUGAUCAGUCUUUCUGUGGCACUUUUACUGUUCUUGGUGAGGUUUCACUUGCUUGUAGACUAGUUCUCUGGAGCUAUACUCCAUUUGUAUUGGUAUUUUUGUAGCUCGUAUGUUUCACUUUCUUUUCUAUUUUUUUGAACACUUGAGAGUUUUGUGAGCAUGUAUUAGUCUUUACUUUAAAUGAAGCUUUAGAUUGGUAUUCGCAAACAAGAACAGAGUAUGCAGUGCAUCAGUUCAUAGAAGAUUAUGUUGUGGGAAAUGCAUUCAGGAUGAUCGAGCUUUGUGACGAGGGUUCAAAUGAAAUUCUGAGACUUCCUGUUGCUGCGUUUAGUAAUUUGGUCUAUUGUCUUGGAACAUAAUUUUUGCUUUUACUUUUAGUUUCAGAAUUUUCAUCUACACUAAUAGUUGCUGACAUGCAGUUUGUUGGAUCAUUGGCGCUAAUUAUGAAUCCUAAAAGUUUGAAUUGUUAGAAAUGUGCAACCACCCAAUCCGGCUGUCCAUGGGUCUGGAUUGUCACUUGGUGUAACCAGUUUCAUGUCAUUUCAAGCAUGACGCGGUCUAACCUAAUCUUUGCCACAAGACACGAUGCUAGCUCUUUAAUCUAAUAAUUCCUUCCAGUGCAAGUACAAAUUCGUAGCAUGCGGGAAUUAAACCUUUGAUUUCUAGCUCUGAUACUACUUGUCGGAUUAUUAGCGCUAACUAUUAAUUUCAAAAACUCGAGGUGUCAGAAAAAUUAACCAAUUCACUUAAAGUGUACAGACACAACACCCAUGGGUCUCGAUUGUGAUUCAGCCCAACCAGCCUCACUCCACUUCGCACAUGGCUCAACCCAAUCUGACUUCUCGCCAUCUCGAACAUGAUUAGGCCUAAUUUGACCUCUCGUCACAAGGUGGAAUGCUGGGCUUUUUAAGCCAACAGAGAUGAGUUAUUAAUAAAUGAAAAUGCUAGAUGUACUGUGACACCCCAACUUUCUAGAGGGUCAUCCAUCCUAAGACUACUCCCAUACAGACACAACACCCAUGGGUCUCGAUUGUGAUUUAGCCCAACCAGCCUCACUCCACUUCGCACAUGGCUCAACCCAAUCUGACUUCUCGCCAUCUCAAACAUGAUUAGGCUUAAUUUGACCUCUCGUCAUAAGGAGGAAUGCUGGGCUUUUUAAGCCAACAGAGAUGAGUUAUUAAUAAAUGAAAAAUGCUAGAUGUACUGUGACGCCCCAACUUUCUAGGGGUUCAUUCAUCCUAGGACUACUCCCGUCCUAACACACUUAAUUCUCUUAACCUCUUGGGCCUAGUCACCGUUCAAAAUACUUAAGCCGGGUUAAAAAUUUUAGCCAUAUUAUAUUUUAUUUAUAGGACUACAUAGGGUCUCACAUUCUCCCCUCCUUAAGCCCUGACGUACUCGUCAGGUUCAGACUCACAAGUACAAGAAGAUGUGGGACUCGUCUUGCUAGCCUAAAUCGACCUUGUAGUGAGCUGCGUUCUACCCACAACAGUCAAUAGCAUGAGAGUCUCGCUCUUCUCGCUGUAUAAUUCUAAUUCAGUUGAGAGUUAUCUGGCACUUUCGACUGAUAAUUAGCUCUGAUACUAAUUGUGACGCCCCAACUUCCUAGGAGGUUAUCCAUCCUAGGACUACUCCCGUCCUAGCACGCUUCUCAUCCUAACACGCUUCUCAUCCUAACACGCUUAACUCUUUUAAUCUUUUGGGCCUAGUCACAGCGCAAAAUGCUUAAGUCGUAUUAAAAGUUUGAGCCCUAUUAUAUCUUAUACAUAGGACUACUUGGGUCUCAUAUGUACAUCCCUAUAUGUUAUUGAUAAAUGGAUUUAGGGGUGUACAUCUUACAACUCUUCCAUCAAGGAUUUAUAAAAUUUCUUUGGAUUUUUAGUAUGUAAAAAAAAAAAAGGUUAAUUGCAUACACGUCCCCGCGAAUAUGAUGAAUUGUAAAUAUAUCCCUACAAAGUUCAACUUUCAGAUGUUAUUCCUGCAAAGUCAUAAUGUAUUCAAAUAUGUUCCUUUGGUUAGGAUCCGUUAGAGAGCUGUUUAUUUUUUAACAGUAAAUUUGUAAAAUGAAAUUUUUGCCCUCACAAAUAUGUUCCUCUAAAUGCUCCAGCUGGCAUAUGUUUGCAGAAAUGCCCUCCCUUUUCCUCUUUCUCUUCCUUUUUGGGCUGCGGAAGCGUACGUCGGCGGCGACGUUGUGGAGUUUGUCGGAGUUGCGGCCGAUAAGGAUGAGGGUGAGGCCCGCUGCAGCGAGGUGGAAGGCGAAGGUGCGGCCGAUGCCGAUGGGGGUGCAGGAGUCGCCGACGACGAGAAGCUGCUAGCCCUUGGUGCGGGUGAGGGCACGGAGGGCGCCAGUCGGUGGGGACGAUGAGGCGGUGACGACAAUCCAGCGCUUGGAGUAAAAGAGGCGUAGCGAUCGGAACUGUCGUGGGGCCGGACGGGCGGGACAGCGGCCCAAUCGAUCUGGGGUUAGGGGGCGCAGCUGCCGAUGAUUCGCGAAGCGGAGCGGGUCUUGUCGAGGCAGAGCAGCGCGACGGUGUCGGUGUCGCCGGCGCUGCGGAGGAAGAAGAGAGCGGCAACAAUGGCUGCGGAGGAAGAAGUGGGAGGAAGAAUAAGGUAAAAUUAUCCAUUUAUCUUAUUAAUUAAUUAUGAUUAAGUAUUUUAACGGUAGUUAACUAAAUUUAUCUAACGGAUGCUAACAGUAGGGACAUAUUUAAAUAUAUUAGGACUUUUGCGGGGUUAACUUAUGAAAGUUGAACUUUAUAGAGAUAUAUCUGUAAUUUAUCAUAUUUAUGAGGACCUGUAUGCAAUUAACCCAAAAAAAAAAUGUGAAAAAAAGAGUGCAUCUUAGCCUUUCACCAUGUUUGUGGGAAUCUGUAUGCAAUUAAUCCAAAAAAAAAAUUAUGUGAAAAAGAGAGUGCAUCUUAGCCUUCCGAAAGUUAGGACGCAAAAUUAAGACAAUAUAUAUGCUUAGGUGUAUGGAUAUCAUUGCUCUUAAUAAAAAGAUUAGAAUGUAUAGAGACUAGUUGAACUUUAGUCUAUUUGAGCUUUCUUUUUAUUUGAUUUAUGCUCUCUCCAUGUACUACAAGUUUAAUUUAAGUACUUUUCUUGGCAGUUCUACUAGAAUUAAAAAAAGGGGAAAACUUCAAAAACCCCCCUUGUGGUUUCGUGCAUUCUCACUUUGCUACCCUGUGGUUUAAAACGUAUCAAUUUGCCCCCCUGUGGUUUCGUUUUUAUCUUUUUGUUAUCAAUUUUAUUAUUAUUAUUUUUUAAAAUCAGUGACAAAGUUAAAAUUAAAGGAUACUAAAGUGACUUUUCGAUAAAUAUAGAUGGUUAUCUGAAGUUUUUUGUAUAUAAUUUAACGAAAUAUUAACGAAAAAGCUUCCGAAAAGAUAAAAAUGAAACCACAGGGGGGUAAAUUGAUACGUUUUAAACCACAGGGUAGCAAAGUGAGAAUGCACGAAACCACAGGGGGUUUUUUUUGAAGUUUUUCCUAAAAAAAGCCAAUAAAAUGUAAGGCCGAUAAAGUAAAUUAGCAGGUUCAUAUUGCACAACAUUCUUCAAUUAUAACAAACAAAUGCCAAGCCAAUAAAAUAAUAAACUAUAAGUUAAAAAACUAAAUAGUAUUAAAAUAUUUUAAAAGUUGAUAAAAAAUUAUUUCUUACAAAGUCAACGAUCCUUCAUUCCUUCGAAAUAUUAUACUUAUUUAUAGUCUUAUCAAGAAAAAAACACAAAUAAAAUAAUAAAGUCCCAAAAUUGCUAAGAAAAGGAUUUAAAUCGAAACUUUAGUAGAUAGGAGUGUGAAUCAAAUAAAAAACUAAGUUCAGAUGUUAAUUUCAAAAUAUACUAAAGUUCAGAGGAUGUCUAUACAUUUUAACCUUUAAAAAUUAGGGAAAACUUCAAAAACCCUCCCUAUGGUUUCGUAAUUUCUCACUUUGCCCCCCUAUGGUUUAAAAUGUAUCAAUUUGCCCCCUGUGGUUUUUUUUCUGUUUUUCUUAUCAAUUUCAUUAUUUUUUUUUCUUAAAUCAGUGAUAAAGUUAAAAUUAAAGGGUACUAAAGUGAAUAUUUGAUAAAUCUAGAUGGGUAUCUGAAGUUUUUUGUAUAUAAUUUAAUGAAAUAUUAACGAAAAAGCUACCGAAAAGAUAAAAAUCAAACCACAGGGGGGCAAAUUGAAAUAUUUUAAACCACAGGGGAGCAAAGUGAGAAACUAAGAAACCACGGGGGGGUUUUUGAAGUUUUUCCUAAAAAUUACGAGCAAUGUUGCAUCUACAAUCUACUUUUGAUUGUAGAUCUUACAACUGGUCCAUCCAAGAACUAGUUUUUACUUGCUUAUCACAUUAUUUUUUUUAAUUACUAAAACUCAAUUUUAAUUUAUUAUACCACAAAGGUUAGAUGAGAGUCGUAACCCUCCCAAGCAACCCCUGUAUUGUACACUUAGUUUUGAUAGAUUCUUGAGAAAUAUCCAAGUUUAAAAAUUUUCUAUUUUAAUUGGAAGUUAGGAGUGUAAUUUUGGCUCCUUAUAAAAUAUUGACAUUCAUAAUUUAGUACGAUUAUAUAUUUAAAAUUUAUUUUAUUGUCAGAAAAUAAAUUUUAAAUAAAAAACUAUUUUAGGUAUUUCAUUAUUUGUUUUAUCUGCGAAAUAUUAUAAUUUUUUGAGCAAAAAUAUGUCGAAUAGAAUAUUCAUGUAUUAAAAUAGACUUUUAAUAUCUUUAAAUUUACUAAAAAAAACUACAGCUAAAGUAGAAACAUCUGGAUGAUAGAUAUUCUACUUAUACGUAUCAAUCUCUAGACAGAACAGAUUAUACAGAUACCUUUCAGUUUCGAAAUCGUGAUUAUGUAAAUGUUGGCGAACAAUAUUUUAGCAAAAAAAGUUAUUCUCUUUAUUAGUUCUAAUCAAAGACAAUUAAAAAAUUUUACAUUAAAUGAAAAUUAAAGUUAAAUUUUAUUUUUAGUUUUUGUAAUAAUCUAUUUUUCUAUAUCUCUAUAUCUAUGUAUUAUUUCUUCUAAAUUUGCCACAUGAUAACAUUCUCUUUAUUGUUGAAUGUGGGCUCCGCCUCGAACCUGUUCAAAUCUUUUUUCUUUUUUUGCUUAAACUAGACCUAUCAUAUUUGAGUGUGAGCUUUGCUGAACCGGCUCAAGCCUUUCACAUUUGUUCUCUUUUUUUUAUUUGAACCGAAUAUGGUUUCUUUCUUUUUUUGUUUGAACCGAACCAGGUCAACCUGUUGCAUUGGCCCAAAUCAACCUAACUGCUCCACAUGGUUUCAUCUUUGAUUUGAAUUUUUUUUGCUUGAACCGAAUCGAUCACUAUCUAGUGUAGGCUCCACAUCGAACCGGCUUAACUUUUUCUCUUUCUUUGCUUAAAUCAAACCGAAUUUUAUUUUACUUGAAUUAAAUCGGAUCUUCAGCUGUUACUUUCGUGCAUCCGCAAAAUUAAUCUCGCUCCCAUCUUUCAUCAUCUUUAUUUUUAUUUUUUUUUAAUUAUCUAUCCAUCUUAUCUUACGGAUUAUUACACUUAUUUUUUAGGGCUUUUUUUGAAAAUGACCCUGUAGAAUUUUGUAAUUGGCAAAAUGACCCUCUGAAAAUUUUAUUUGUAAAACUAAUCCUCCUUUUGCUACGUCGGCGCCACCUCAGAUUUUUCUCGCGAAGACGGUGAAUCGUUCACCGUCUUUGCAUAUAUCUCAUGAAGGCAGUGAAUGGUUCACCGCCUUAUGAAGGCGGUGAAUGGUUCACCGCCUUACCGCCUUAUGAAGGCGGUGAGCCAUUCACCGCCUUUAGAGCAAAACCGCUCCCCCGCUUUCCUUAGAAGGCCACCUUUCCAACUGUCCUGUGCCCUCGAGAAGACGGUAAAUGAUUUACCGUCUUAACUAAGACGGUGAAUCAUUCACCGUCUUUAUUGUAAACCCUCCAUCCAAGCCAAAUUUGGCCAAGUCCUGGAGGCGGGGCUAAAACAGAGAUAAGACGGUGAAUAGUUCACCGUCUUAUUAGUGCUGCACUAAAGACGGUGAACUAUUCACCAUCUUUAGUGUAAACACCCAGGCCUAGGAAAGACGGUGAAUCGCUCACCGUCUUCACACUUAAUGAAGACGGUGAACGAUUCACCGUCUUAUCUAGGUAUACCCAGCCCCAGACCCCGACACCUCUCCCUCCCUCUUCGCUCUCUUUCUCUCUCUAUCUCUCUGUCUCUAUCUCCCUUUCUGCCCAUUCCUCUCCAGGAGCCGCACCUCGGUCGCCGCUGCCCUCGCUCGCCGCCGCCCCUGCCGACGUCGCCGCCGCCGGUCGCCGUCGACCCACCGAGCCGCCGCCCAUGCCACAACAACCCACAUUACAAGUAUAAACCUCUCUUAGCAAGUUUAAACUAGGUUUAUCGAGUAUUGGGAACGGCUUCAUUAAAUGAAAAGGUCGAAUGCUGUUGUUUCACGACAUUAGUACAUGUAUUAUCAGUAAUAUUUAAUAAUUGUUAUAUAAAGCUUCUCCUAUUUACAUUCACCUGUCUAAUUUAUUGUAAUUUAUUUAUAUAUUUGGGCGUGGGACCAUCUUCAUGUCGGUCGAUCUACUAGCGUUGGAGCUAUUGCCGACAUGGCUGAUUGCCCUUUGGGUUGCCGGUAUGACAAUUAAAUAUGAUACAUAUUACAUUUCUAUAUAUACAUUUGCAACUAGCAUACUUUUCAAAUAUUAGGUGGACGAACGCCGGCGGGUUACGUUUUGGGGCAAAUGUUAGGACGACAGAUAUUGAGUUCUAUAAAGAUGAGUUAGAUCAGCAGCGAGCGUCUCAGGUACGUAUUAAUGCAACAAUUUUUCUCAAUAUACAACCGUAUUAAUGCAUUCAGCUGACUAUUAUUGGCUUUUUCACAUAUUACAUGGCGGCCGUACACAGAUGCUAUUAUACAUGUGCUACCGGCAUUCUGUGUACAGGGUAGUGAGGUUUGGCGAUCGAGGACGACACUGAUUUGCUUUCAUAUUGUUGAGCUUCACGUGCCCGAUCGAGUCCUACGGCAGUUUGGUCUCCUCCAGCAUAUACCAAUUCACGUGGAGACCAUCCGUCGCAUCACAUCUCAGGGGCGGCCAGAUGAGGAUUGGGUCCAGUUUCAUGCUGCACACAUCGAGAGAUGGGAAUAGAGAUUACAGGCUAUUAUUGACCAGCAUCCGAUUGUCGGUGAUGACCCGGUACAGACAACAUCUAUUUAUAUGGAGUGGUAUUGGCAAAUCACAAGAAGAUGGAUUUCUCGUCCAGUACAGCGUCCACCAUUGACUUACCAGCCUCGCGGCCAGACCGAGAGAGAUUUGGUACGAUCACUCAUAUGUUAAAUUUUUUUAAUCUUUUAUUUAAUAUAGAUUGCAAAUAGUGAGCUCUUAUCUAUAACGCAGGUGGACGCAUUACGACAGGCUCAAUGGGCAUCAGAGGGCUAGUUCAUGAUCGACCUUCUUACGAUGCGAUGAUGGAGACAUUGACGAGCAUGGAUGUCCAUAUUGAGUCAGUACUGGAGUACAUUCCUUCCAUACCUGUCGCCGCUGAUGUUGGAGGUUGAGAUUUUGAUCAACCCUCGACAUCGGGUCAUCACAGGAGACACUCACCGACAUCGACUGGAUCAUACUCGAGAUCGAGCUUACGAGUGUCACGAUCUCCAUCUCCUAGUGAUGUUACAGAUAUGCUCAUCGCCCCUUCAAGAUUUCCUUCCUUGCCAUUGGAUUUGGACUCGCUUCCGCCGCUAGUCUCUCGAGAGCACUUUAGAUUAGUCUACUCUCGACGUCAUGCCGCGUCAUCAUCACAGGCCCGCCCAGCAUCUACACCGGCCACUAUCGAGGGUGAUCGACCUGAGCCAGAGGAGACUGAGGCGAUUCCGGAGCAUCCCGAGGGCAUUAUCAUUGCGGAUCUCGAUCAGAUGGCCGGUAUCGAGGCACUUGAUGACGUACCUAUUGCUGAGCUCGAUGUACAGUGUGGCCGUAGACGUGGACGUGGCCGUGGCCGAGGACGUGACUGAGGACGUCGAGGGAGAGGAAGAUCGAGAGACUGAUUGUAUAUUUUUGAUUUAGAGAGCAUACUUUGUAUAAUAUUAUAUAAUACUUUAUUUAGUUCAUAUUUGUAUAUUUGUCUGUGUUUUGUUUGAUAUUUUUAUCCGGUUGAUUGUAUCUUGUUAUUCCACUUGUGAUGUUUUGUUUCUUGUUGUAAUAUUUGUUAUCGUGAAAAUACUUGUCUCAAACUUGUUCAAAUUGAAUUUAAAAUCGAGCUAAAAAAUAUCACCUGCUGCUGUUUGCACUAAAGGCGGUGAACCAUUCACCGCCUUUAGUACAAAUCCUCCAUAGCCGCAAAAAAUUGGCUAAGUUCUGGACUGGAGGCCGUUUGCACUGUAGAAAAGGAGCACACCACAUGUAAUCCCGCAGAGAACUGAGCAGGUCUGGGCCAAUCUAGAGGGGGAAGGAGGCGGGGCGGUGUCACGCCCGGGUACCAGCGGAAGCAUAUCCGGUACGUGCACAGACCCGCCAUACAAUUGCAGUAUAUAAGGCGUCUACAAGAAGCAAGUCGAUAGGAAGAGGCAUAGUAGUAAAUGGUUCACCGCUUUUAGUGCAGCCAUGAUAAGACGGUGAAUGAUUCACCGAUUCACCGUCUUAUCUGUACUUUAGCCCGGAUUCGAGGACUUAGCCAAAUUAGGCUGGGUAGGAGUUUUACUCUAAAGACGGUGAAUAGUUUACCGUCUUAGGAAGACGGUGAACAAUUCACCGUCUUAUGUAGCUGCUGGUUCGAGCACUAGGGGCACUGAGAAAGCGCGCGGCAAGAGCACUGAGAAGGCAGUGAAUGGUUCACGCCUAGAGAAGACGGUAAACCAUUUAUCGUCUUCUCAAGGAUACUAUAGAAGAUUCACCUCCUUUAUGAGACAUAUGUAAAGACGGUGAACGAUUCACCGUCUUUGCGGGAAAAAUCUGAGGUGGCGCCGACGUGGCGAAAGAAGGGUUAGUUUGACAAAUAAAAUUUUCAUAGGAUUAUUUUGCUAAUUACAAAAUUCUACGGGGUCAUUUUCAAAAAAAAGCCCGAUUUUUUACAUUAAAACGAGUGAGAGAAUGUCCUUUUCCUUCUUCCUACGCCUCCAAAAAAAAAAAAAAAAAAACUUCCUCUCCUCUCUCUCUUCUCCACUCCUAUAAAUAGUGAGUGCACAUCGACGGCGAGGGUUACAGUAUCCCCUCCCUCCGCCGCCACGCUCCGCCGCACACCGCCGCCGGGAUCCGCCGUGAAGCCAAAAAAACCCUACCCUUCUCCGAUGAGUUCUCCCCCUCCGCGGCGCCGAUCGCACGCCUCCGCCUCCGCCUCCGCCUCCGCCGCCGCCGCCGCGGCGAAGGGAUCGUCCCAUGGCGACCACAAAAGGUUGCUACUACCCCUUGCUCUCUGCUAUCUCCUUAUAUUUCUGGUUUUCUCGGCCUAGGGUUUGGGGGAUUAGGGUUUGAGGUUAGUUGAUCGAAACGAUGAACUGUUUUAGGAAUUCCCCUUUUGUGGUUUAGUAUUUUGCCGUUAAUGUGUGUCGAGUUAGAUCUGAAUCUGAUUUAUGAUCUUUUGUAGUGCAUGCGUUUUCCAGUUUCUUUCUCUUUUGUUUAAUCUUUUUUGCUGUAAAUUGUUGAAAAUGAAAGGAAAUGACAGAAGAACUUAUCUUUCCGUGUCCUCCGCCUAGGGUUUGGUGGACUAGGGUUUGGGGUUAUAUGCGGUGAUGUGUUGUUGGAAUUCCCCUUAUCUGCUUUGGUUUAUUGUAGAAAAUGUGUAUCAAAUUAGAUCUGAACCUGAUCUUGAGCUAUUUGUAGUGAAUGCCCUUUCCGUCUUUUUUUUUUUUUUUCUGGAAAUAUUUGAGGAGGAAGGAAUACGAGAGAAGAAUAGAUAUAAUGCUAGAGGCGGAUAAACAAUGAAGGAGAAACUAUAAUACGCAAGAGGUGAAGAUGAUGGAAAUUGACAUCCUGAAAAGGAUUCUUUCUAUAUCCUCUUUUUUUUUUUUGUUUUUUUAGAAAUUUGAAAGAGGAAUAAAAUGAUGAACAUUGUAGAGAAGCCAAGAAAGAGAAAGGUCAAUCCAAAUAAAAACUCAAAUGUGGAGCGACUCGGAUGAAAUUGAGUCACUUGACCAAUUGAAGAUUCUGUACAUGGUGUGGGAUAUCGUAUAUAGGGUAGGUUAGUAUUAUUACACGUGAACUAUUUCUUAGUCUAAGAUUUCAGAAUUGAGCGAUAUUAGACGUAUCCAUGCUUGAAAUGUUAAAGAGUACAAGAAAGAAUGCAACAGCGUUCUGACCUCUGGCUGAUGACUGUAGUGCUACAUUGGUGUAGUUGGCCAUGGGUUCUGGCAUACCUCCUGAAAAUUACUAUCUCUGCUUGAACUUGACGCUCAACUGUAUUAUGCUUCUAUAGACCAGCCAUUUUCAACUUUAACCUAAUUCAUAAACUUGCUAGUUUUCUGAAAGGGCAUAAAGCAUUUGGUUCGUGUUUAGCCUAGCAUCUUCUUCUGCUUUGAGCUGCAUGCAUUUCUAGUUGUAGCAUCUCCCAAACAAAGUAGCUUGGAGCUUCUGCUGUGCCGGCAAAGUUGAAAUGGGAUUUCGAGGCACAAAAGCAAAAGCUCAAAUUUGGAUCUUCUACUUUUUUUUUUUUUCCAAGUGGAAACUGGUGGGAGGGAUUUUUGUGAAAAAGCUGGGUCAAACAGGCCUUUGGUAUGUUCUCGAAAAGAAAUUAUGCCCUCUUUUAAAAACAUUGCUGCCUGUGCCUUUUAGGUAAAUUUCCAUCAUUUUACUACUGCAUGAAGCUUCCAGAUCCAUAACCUUGUUGCCUAAAUUAUAUAAUACAAUAUUACUCUUAUUUACUAAUUUAUAUUUCUGGUUAAUUUUCUCUUUUACAGUCCGAGGAGGUCAAGAAGAGAUAGUAAAUGGGACACAGAGAGACCGCACUCCAGCAAUCGUUACUUAGAAAAUGAUAAUACAUUUGAUCGAGACCGAAAGCGAAGUAGGCGGUUUCAUGAUGCUGCACCACUGGAGGAACCUCCUGCUAGUGGAAAAGAAGUGCAAAAUGAUGUUGCAAAAAAAAGCUCUGACCAAAAGGUUGAUGGACUAUCUGAUGGCCCCAAACGUUCAUCUGAUCGAGUAGAUGCACCACGAUCUAGCUCUCACUUCCAGGUUCUACUACUUUCCAAUAUGUUAAGGGGCUUUUACAUAUUAUACAUAUAUAUAUUCCGACAAAAUUAUCUAUUUCUUGUAUUCCCUUGAAAGUGUGUUUUUUUCAAAAAUGAUACCUUGUUUGUAAGUCACCCAAUUCAUGGAAGGAAGUUGGUUUCGUAUCACAAAGAGCAUUCUAAAGAGUAGUAUUUGUGUAAAUGUAUAAUAAGAAAUUUACUUUUUGAAGGGCAUAUGUUAAAUCACAAAGAGUUAUGAGUGAAAUUAGCUUUUCUAUUAUGGCUAGAGAAGUAAGUUUCGAACACCUAUCUUAAAUUUUUUUUGUUGGCACUACAUAGCUGUUAUCAUGGUUUCAAGAUUAGCUUGAAAUUUUGAAACAAGAAGAUGACAUUUUUGGGGUUUGGUUUAUGCCAGCUGGAAUUGGUUUAAAGAAUGUUUAGCGUUAGAAAGUCAGCUCAAAUUGGCAAAAAGUAGUUUACAGGUGAACAUUUUGAUUCCUCCAUGAUCAUUCAAUUUGUAUCUCUUUUAGCCUAGUAUAAAGUCUUUGAUAGACUGCGAUUUAUAGCUAUAUUUCUUCAUAUAUGUAGCGCAAUACAUCAUUUUGAUAUAACAAAAUAUAGUGAAAUGAAUUUCUCAUCUGCUAGUUAGAUUCUUAAUUGAUGUUUUGAGACUGAAAAGUUGAAAUUGCUUAAUCAUGGCUGUUAUGACUUCUAUCUUAUACUCAAUUAGUUCAUAACCACAUCAACCCACUUUCUAAAACGCAAACUUGAUCCACUGUUUGAAAAUUCUUUUGUCUAUGUGGGUUUCAGGACAUUUUAGAUGAGCUUAGCCUCCUUUCUUUUAAAUUUUACUCCAGAUCAAAUAUAGUUGUCAAGUUGCUUGGAUUUCCAAUAUUACUGAUCGUAUCUUAUAUUUACGCUUUGUCCGUUUAAGAGCUUCGCUCUUUCUCACCCAGGAUUAAGAUAUAUGUUGUAUUUCCAUUUCUUUACUGAUUAGUUAACAUGCUCACUUUGCCUUAUUUUUGGAUAUCCAAUUUUUCAUCUUGAUGAUGGGUUGUUUGACUCGUUUCCUUCAUAGGGUAGCUGCCAUCAAGUUUUUGCUGUUAUUUUUUAACAAGUUUAUUUUAUGCCUUGUUGCCUUUUUAUCUUUUUUGUCGCCUAUAAGGUUUCUUGUGAUAAAAGGUAUCAAUUUUACUUCAUUAUAUUCCUUGUCUUGCAUACUUCCAUUGUGGUAGGUAGGGAUCUAGUUUUGGCUUUUGUGAGCUUUUCAUGAGCUUUUCAAUAUCAUGCAUAAAUCUGAUCCUGAGCUCGCAAUGACUCUUUUCUUUCUUUUUUUCUUUUUUUCCUUUUUCUGGUCUUGUGGGAAAGCUCUUGUAAAUAUUGUAAUGACAAGUAAUGGUGUAGCCAUUUAUGUGUAUGAUGCCUUUUUUUCUGGCAUUUCAUUGCUAAAUCUUCAGCAGGACACCUAGAUCUUUAGUUUAAUAUUCUUUUCUCAGUUGAAAAUUGCUACACAUGUCAUUCUAGACUUGUUCUUUUCCCCCCUCUAUUAUCCAUUAUUUUUCCAUUGAGUGGAUAAUCUAAAUCAAUGGGUAGUUCAGCAAGAAUGCUGGUUGGAUAAUAUUCUUUGUCCACUACUAGUGUUUCAUUUUGUUCAAACGAUAUAUUUCUCCUAAUCAAGCUGACUGUUGCUCGGACCUGUGCCCUCAAGUACCUUGUUGUAUACUAUGCUUCUAUGUACAGCAUGAUGAGCGUGGCAAUACUGGGCACGGUGGUCGAAGCUAUUCUCGCCGAGCUACUGGUGAUUCUCGAACCUCCUAUCAUGAUUUGUCGAUAGUCAUUUUUCUAUCACUACAAUGCAGUGAAGCCCCUUUAAGUGUUACAUUUUUCUCUUUGCUCCCUUGAAAAAUUAAAACUUACAUCUUGCCCCCUUAAUAAAUUGUCAAAGUGAUAGAUAUUUAGGAGUUAAGUGUGAUGAAAACUUGUAGUUAAGAUGGGUGAUACAUAAAUUCCACUCUUUCAGGGGAGCAGAACGAAAAUCAAGAUAUUGCGAAAUUUGAAGGGUCCCUUUUUCCGUAAUUUAGCCAUUCUUUGUUUCAAUCGUCGUGAUGUCCUCAGAUAUUUGCAUAUUUUUUUUUGUACAGACCAUGGAAGAAGGUGGGAUGAUCAGAAGGAAAGGUUUAAUGAUAGAAUCAAAGACAAAAUUGAGGAUCAUAAUUUGCCGAAGAAGGCCGAGAAGUACCAGUCUCGAGGGCACAACAAUAAAGAAUGGAGACACGAUGGGUUUUUCCAGUUGGAAUCCGAGGUGCCUCCUGCCAAGAGAAGACCGGCAUUUAGUGAGAAGAAGAUACCUAGAGAAUCUCUAGAUCAUGGAUUACCUGACAACAGUAAACCUGCAUCGGAUGCCGCACAAAGGGAAGAAAGGGGGCCGCAGUAUGUUCGAGGGCUAGAUAGGUCAGAUAGGCCAUUCAGAAGGGCGGAUGAGAGAAGCAGUAGGUGGGAAGAAGCAGCCUCUCAAGGAAGAGAAGUUCGCCAAGGUGGGUAUCAACCUAGAGAGAGAUUUGGCGGCGGGGGAAUGAGGGGAAGAGAGAGGUUUAAUAGUCAGUACAGUGAGAAAAACUCCUAUCAACCCGGUGGCGUUAAAGUAGAGAAAUGGAAGCACGAUCUCUUCGAUGAAGCCAAUAGGAGCCCAACCCCAAAGAACGAAGAAGAGCAAAUUGCGAAAGUCGAAGCCCUUUUGGCACUUUAAGAACUUAUAUGCACGAGGCUUUCUCGCAAGUAAAAUGGCUUCUCUGAUCAAUACAUUGGCUGAUUCUUGGUUCUGGGGCUUUCUGGUUCUCUGCAGAUAACCUUCAGUUGGAAAAAAAAAAAAAAAAAAAAAAAAGGAAAAGAAAAAGCAGGUUUAUUUUGAUUCUGGGAAUCUAGUAGAUCUUUUCUGCUGUGAAGGAGAGAUGAUUAUUUAAGAAAAGUUGGGUCUUGUUGAACUCCUGAUUGUGUGGAGACGAGUAUGUUAUCAUCGAAGCCGAUUCUUUCAAGAGUGAUGGUAAGGGUGCCUCAAAAUGUGCCGUAAUGCAGUUGAUGAGUCAAUUUUGUAUGAGCAAAAUUUCAUAAAAGGUUAUUUAGCUUGGAGCCACCCUGAUGAUGUAUGUUCUUCGAUACCCACAUUUCCUUUUGUUUUGAUUUCCAAUGCUCGCCUUUUGCAUAGACUGAGUAAUAGGAGCAUUUUAGUGAAAUGAUCUAAUGCAGUUUAUGCGUCAGUUUUAUAUAAGUAAUAUUUUAUUAGAAGUAAUUUAGCUUGGAACGCAUUCGAAAUAUGUACUUCGGUACCCAAAUUCCCUGUUGUUUAGAUUUUUACCCCCCAUUUUUGACAAUCCUUACAAUGUCUGUAUGUUUAAAGAUCAUAAAAUUUUUUUUUUUUUCUUCUCUUGCAAUGUAUCUAUGCUAAACUCUGUUAACACUGUUAAUCAAAAUUUUCACCUAUAUACUAAAUUAAUAAUUAAUAGCUAAUAAAAUUAUUUUAUAAAUUUUAAAAUUCAAUUAAUUAAAAUGUAAUUAAAAUAAAAAAUAUUUGGAGUAACAUUAUUGACAAAUGAUGUAUAACAAUCAAAAUGCCCAUAUGUUAUUAGAAGCCAUGUUUUUCAAGAUUUAUUAUCACUGACGCUUCCAGUAGUUUCAAAAUUAAUAAUACAGAAAUUAAUUUAUCUAAUAUGUAAGAAACAGAUAUUCAAUAACUAUAAUCUUUUUGUGUGUAACCCUAACUUUUAUGUAAUAUCACAAAUCGUAUCUAAUAAAUUACUUAUCAAUUUAAAGAUAUUUUUUUGCUUAUGGAGCGUGAAUGAUGCGAUAUGGUUUUUUUUAAGACAGUUUACAUGUGAGUGAUUAUUAAAUUAUAAAUUUAUAAAACUUAUUUGAACAAUAGAUCAUUUUAUUUCGGCUAUUUAAUUUUUUAAAACUUUUAACUUUAGUAUAUAAUUUUUUAAUUCAUUUAAUUUAAGUAAUUUGACGGCUUUUUGGAUAUAAAAUUUAAAUUAAUUGCUUAUUUUCAUAAAUUUACUGUUGCGUAAAUUGUAUAAAAUAUGCUAACUAAAUUCGAACAGAUAAACGAGCAUUCAAAAUUUAAGAUUAAAGAGCCACUAGUUAACCCAAAUCAAAACUAUGGACAAUUUUGAACCCUACUAUCCAAUCUUUAAAAAAUUUGAUUUACUAUCAAACCUUUCAAUUUGUUUGAUUUAAGUGAGUAAAUGUCACUUUAAUUUUAAAAUUUAAUCUAAUAUAUUAUUUUAAUAUUCUUAUAGCUACGAGAAUUAUAUAAAAUAUAUUAACUAAACUUGUAAAGAUAAAUAAAAUAUUCAAAUUUUAAAAUUAAAAUAUUAUUGUCAAAUUAAAAUUAAAUAAAUUAAAAUAUUGGAUAGUAAAGUUAUAAUUUUAAAAAAUUAAUAUUUCAUUUAAAAUGAUUCAUAUUUGAGAAAGGGAUGGAAUAACCCUUAACCCCCAUUUUAUCCCCAAACACUUCCCCAAACACUUCUAAAAAUGGAUGGGGUUAGCUAACCCCCACCAAAUCCCAACCAAAUACUAUUUUCUAUUCAUAAUAACCCACUAUCCUUCUUAUCCCACCUACUCCAACCAAACACUAUUUUUUACUAUCCUGGACUAACUCCAACUCCCAACCAAAUAUAAAAAUGCUCUAACCCUACCUUAAUCCUAAACUUAAUCCUAUCCCUGAAAUAACUAGUUUUUUCUUAACCCCGAACCAAACGGUAGCUUACAGUUCUACCAAUGAUUAGUGCGUCACUCUAAUAAUUAUGUUAUAGCAUCACUAAUGUAGUAAUGUCUAAAAUAAAAUGAUACGUCACUAUCACACGUCACUAUCACGCCAACAAGAAUUAUAGUAUUCGAGGAACUCAAUGGGACAAAGUUUUUAAAAAUUAACUACAAUAAUUUGAGAUUCUAGUUUAAAAUUUAUGGUAAACUUUAAAUACCAUCCCUGUUAUUUCAUAAUUUUUUACUUUAGUAUCUUAUAAUUUAAAGUAUAUUAGUGCUUUUAUUUUUUUUUCUUUUUGUCAGCCUCUCAGUAUAUUGUGAUUUACAAUGUAUCAAUUUAGUACUAUAUGACUUUAUUUUUUUUCUUUUCGUCAGUUUCUCUGCUAACUUUUCGUUAAAUUAUAUACAAAAAAUUACAGAUACUCUACGUAUGGUUUAUCGAAUAUUCAUUUUAUUACCCUUUAGUUUUAACUUUCUUACUGAUUUAACAAAAAAAAAUUAGUGAAGGGAUUAACAAAAAAAAAUAAUUAAAAUCACAUGAUACGCCACUUUAAACCAUAGGAUACUAAAAUAAAAAAAACGAAACCACAGGAGUGGUAUUUGAAGUUUUUCCAUAAAAUUAAAAUAAAAUAAUUAAAGAACCAAAAUUACAUCACCCAUAAUUGUUUGAAAAUUUAAAGUAGUUCCAUUUUUAAUAUUACUUCUCAAAUAUAAUAGAUGGGAACGCGUUUGGUUCGGCCUAGAAUGAAUUAAAAAAAUAUUUUUGGUAGGAAAAAUAAAUUUUUAUUUGUUUGGUUUAACGUACAAAUACUUUUACGAAUUUGAAAAAAAUUAAAAUUUUCGUUUUUCGUUGUUUUUCAGUAAAAACGAAAACUCAAACUGCUUAAAUUAUUUAUUUAUUUUUUUAUCAAAUCAAACAAAUAUAAAUUUUUCUUCAAAUCAAAUAAAUAUUGAUGAAAAAUUAUCUCUUUUUUUUCUACAAAUUAAACAUUACAAAACAUUAAAAAAAAAUUUCACCAAAAUUUUUUUUUCAAGAAAAAAUUAUUUUUUCGAUUUUAUGAUGGACCAAAUAGACCCUAAUAUAUCCAUCAACCCUUUUUUUAAAGUCAAACAUGUGACUUAGAAUUAUUUACACAAAAAAAAAUGACACAUGCACCCUUUUUAGGGUGAAAAUUAUUUAUUUUAUGAGUGAUGUUUUUUUUAUCAAUUAUAUAGUCCUGAUGAGUUUUUUUUUUUUUCUUUUUGAAGAAAAAUUUAGGAAAUGAAUAGAGUAUAAUUUACACUCAUUUUGCAGCAUGCGAAUACUAUUACUUAUGGAGAACAAUAUUAAAUAUUACAUUCUAGUCUUUCCGAUGUUAUAUGUUACUAUUUUAUUUAUUUUUUUAAAAAUAAAUAAAAUAAUUAAACUUCAAAUUUGAGACAUUAAAUAAUAAAUUGUAAGAUGUAUAUUAUAUAAUACAACGCAACAAGUAGCAUUUUCUAAUAGAAAUCAUAAAUUGCAUAUUAUAGUAACAAAUAAUAUAUAAAAUAAUGAGAAAAAAGUUAAAUCACGCUUCGAUGUCACACAUCACACUUUCGUUCUCAAAUUUUAAUUUAUUAUUAUAAUUUUUGAUUCAGACUUUAUAAAUUAGUAUAAUUAAAUUUUAUAAUUCAGUUUUGUUGACUAAAUAUUAGCUGUUGAAUUCAAAAAGAGACAACAAAAAAUUACGCUCAAACUUUGUAAAUUAUUGUAACUAAAUUUUACAAUUCAGUUUAGUUGACUAAAUAUUAGCACUCGGAUUAAAAAAGCGACAACUAAAAUUAUAAUAUAUUAAAGUUUCAGGACUACAGUGUCGCUACUCUGAUUGUUUGAGUACCAAAGUGUAAUUUAGCCAAAAAAUUACAAGGUUUCUCUCUCCUCCGAUCUCUUGUCUCUGUCUCUCUGUCUCUCUCUCUCCUAAUUAAUUCCCUUCUCUUUCUUCUUCCUCGAAACCCUAAUCCUUCUCCUCUCUCUAACACCAUGAAGGGGCCGGGGCUCUUCUCCGACAUCGGGAAAAAGGCGAAGGGUAUGAUCCAUUCCUCCUCUUCCACACCGUCUCCAAAUUCAGCUCAUUUUCCCUUUUUUUCCCUGUAAUUUGAUUAAUUUUUGUUUAUUUUUCUCAAUUUUUUGUUCGAUGAUUCAGAUCUACUAACGAAGGACUAUACCUACGAUCAGAAGCUCACCAUCUCCACCGUUACUGCUUCCGGAGUGGUAAACGCCUCGAUCCUUUUCUUUUUCUUUUUCUUUUUAAAUAGAUUUUUUAGCAUUAGUAUGAUUAAUUAUAGAGCAAUGGAUCAUUGUGAUCUUUGUAUUCUUAUUGUUGUUUGAAGUUGAAGAAUUGGAUCUGAUAUAUCAUCAUCAGUCAAUGCUCAUUUUGUAAUCGGCGAAAAUGUCUGGAGACCCCCUCAACUAUAGGAGAUUCUGAAGAGGCCACAUGAACUUUCAUUUGUUUUGAUUUUAAAUAAUUCCUGUCAAAUUAAUUGGGGAUCUUAAUAAAUUUGGUUGAAUUUACUCGUUUUACAGGUUUGUUAGUUGAUAGAAAUGUUGAUUCCAAUGUCCUACAGCUCAUGAAGUGCUCAAUUUCGAUGAAAAUCAUAAUUCAAAUUAUUGAAACAACUCUAGGUCAAAAUCAUUGAAAGUUAAGAGCGUAUCAAUCCGAAAAAAUGUAUAUAAUUUGGGGGGGUCUCUUGCUGAAUGGCCUAUAAUUGAGGGGUUCUCCUUACGUUUUUAACCUUUGAUAUAUGGUUGAGGCUCUAUGACUUUGAAUGUUGCGCUCGCUCCUAGAUGGUUGUUUGGAGUAUUCAGUUUUUGUACAUUUUAUUCCUCGGUAUAACUCGCAAGUCCUUUGUUCUACCUCGUUUUUUCGCUUGUGGAGGUAGUUGAAGGUUUGUUUAGUCAUUCUUGGUAAGUAAAUUUCUCACUAAGAUUUUUGUUAUUUUGUUCUUAGAUAACUGAAAGUUCAUCCUGCGAUGCGCAAUGCAAAUUUAAUUGUUUACAUAAUAAUUGAGUAAUAAUAUAUUUUAUAUAAAUAGAAUCAAGAAGAGAGUGACGGAGAUUUGAGAAAAAGUAAAGAUAUGUGGUUGAAUAAUUGAAUUAAGUGCCGAUUGAGGGAUUUACCUUUUUGUGUCUAGAGAGAUGAUGUUAAACAUUUCGUCAAUAAAAUGGAAAUCUUUGAAUCAAAAGGUUCUCUGUGUAGCAUUUUGAGAACCAUGUAUGUGGUGACUGAAUAUUUAAUGAAUUGUCUACAUGGCAAAAUCAUGUUUGAGGAAAUUAUACAUGUGGCAUAACCAUAUUAAUUGUCUACCCAGCGAAAAUUCGGAGAGACUUUCUCUCUUCCCAGUACUGCAGAUUUACUCCUAUUUAUGUUUUAUUGAUAUAGUUUUAUAGAAGUCCCUUUAUUAUAUGUCUGUAUCCCAACUUGUAAAUCAACUAGCACUUUACGUAAUUGAAGAUAAUUUACAAAUUAAUGCAAUCUGUUGAAUUGAAGGACCGUAAAUCUCAAUUUUCCUUAGUUUGUUAAUUUUCUACAUAAGUUUUCUUUAGAAUUGUUUUAGGCCUUGUUCGGGAAUACUAAUCCUACAGCUGCUGCUUUGAUGCUUUAAAGCUCCAUAUAAUGGGAAAGUCCUUUAUAGCUACACCAUCUUCCUAUUAUCUGGUUGGAAGGUUAUUGUAGGAGAACAUGGAGUCAAGGAAGUACUAGAUUGGUGCACAACCAAUUUCAUUAUGAUUGGAAGAUGAUAGAUUUUUUUUUUUCCUUCUUGAUUUUUACGAAAAAUGAUGGUGAGUUUUCGUGUGUCUGGACUGCUGCCCUUGAAAAGCAAUAUGCAAGCUUCACCUCUUGAAAAGCAAUAUCCAUGUAGAACUAAAGUUCAUUAUGGAAUUAAAACUAAUUGUUCUGAUCCUUGGUUCUGGUCCAAAAAAAGAGAAGCCCAUCAGUUGGCGCAUUCAAUUGCGCAUAGAAAUAAGGGGAAUGAAAGGUAAUCACAGCCAAAUGAAGCAUUGUUUUCCAUACUGAACUAGUAUAAUUUUCCGAAGCAACUGUUAGAGGGCAAUGCAUGAUGAAACUUGCAACAUAAAAUUUGUUCAUUUAGGAAAAAAAAAAAAAUUUCUUGAGAAAAAAAGAUAAAAAAGUUGAUAACUUCUGUGAGAUAUAAAUAUGUAUGAAAAAGAAGCAGUAGUAGAAGAAUAAAUGCCCUCUUUUGCAAUAGGGGACAAUAAUAUGCAAUUAGUGGAUAAAACCAAUGAAAGUAAUAAAAAACUUUGAAUGGCUAACAAGCUGGUACAAACCUAUUCUUUAAGACAUUUGGAGUUUAGUAACUUUAAUCAUGUGAGGCACCAACAUACAAACACAAAGAAGAGUUGAUAGCUAUAGAGCCAACAAUGAUUUUAUUCUGGAAAGUGCAUUAGUCUCAAUGAGGAUGUUUGAGAGAAUGAAUUGUGAAUAAGACCGUAUAGGACUGAAAGAAAGGUAGAUUGGUUAGACUGAUUUGUACCUUACAUGCAUUGUUCAAGUCUUGCUCCUGAGAUCUCUUUAUGUCUACCUCAGUCUGGUGAGAAUGUUUCCUAUUGUAUGAGAAAAGCUUCAUUCAUUCAGGUUUUUUGUUUUUUACUGCCUGAUCAAAUGUUACGAAGUUAAGACAUUGGCCUGACUCUUUUCUCUUCUUUAGCGUUGUUUUUUAUUCCUUGCUCAUCCGUUUUGUAUCUGUAAAUUAUCGGAGGAAAUUAAUGCUUUUGGUCUUGCUAUUUAGGACAACGUUCGCUUUAGUAAAUAUGCCUUUUAUUAGAUUAUAGUAGAUAUAGUAAGAUGUUCAUGCAAUCAUUUUUUGUAGCAAACAUCCUUUUUCUCUCUUUUUUCUUUCACAUGGGUAUCAAAUCGAAAGUGCCAACAGGUUGUUUCUGAUUUAUUUUCAGGGCCUAACUUCUGCAGCUUUGAAGAAAGGGGGACUUUAUUCUCUUGACAUUGGUUCACAGUACAAGUACAAAAAUACUCUUGUCGAUGUCAAAGUCGACACCGAUUCAAAUGUAUUUUUCUAACACUGAUUCCUUUUCUCUUUUGAAGUGCUAACAUGAAAAAUUUGUCCUGAGAGUUCUCUUUUGUGCCUUGUCAGAUCUCCGCUACUUUCACCAUCUCAGAAAUUUUUCCAUAUACAAAGACUAUUGCUUCUUUCAAGAUACCGGACUACAACUCAGGAAAGGUAUUGAGAUUAAAUGGCUCCAAUUUAUAAUUGUGUUUUUUUUUGGGUUUUUUUUUGGUGGUGUUCGUGGAGUGGUGCGUCUAAUGCAUAACCCUCAAAAAUAGAGUUUCUUUCGAAAAUGCUGCUCUUUGUUGGCUGAAUGAAGUUUUUGAAGAGCAUAUAUGCUUCUAAGUAUAAUCAUUUUUCUCCAAAUCUCCCAAAAUCUGAUUUCAGAGAUACUAAAAAUUGUCUUCUUUUCGCCAGUUGGAGGUGCAAUAUUUUCAUGACCAUGCAAGUUUUGCUUCAAUUGUGGCUCUGAAUCCAUCUCCUGUAGUUGAGCUUUCCGGCACUGUUGGUGCUCAAGGAAUUGCUAUUGGUGCAGAAGCCGGUUUUGAUACAUCCUCGGGAAAUUUUACUAAGUACAGUGUUGGACUUGGGCUGGCUAAGCCGGACUAUAAUGUCUCUGUUCUUCUGUAAGUUGUCUUUCAUUCAUUCCAUCAAACUUUUUGAUAGAGAUUCCUUGAAGGGAUUUAUCCUAUUCCUGGAAAAACAAAAGGGUUAAAUCGCAGAUGCAAUUGCUGAAGUUUGAUGAUGAUUCAAUUACGUCCUCAGAGUCUUAAACUCUCACAAUUUAGGCCAUAAUUUUUGUUGACUUUAAUAAUCAAGCCCUUCCGUUAGUUCCCCAUCUGAAAGAAAGAAUACUGUGUAAUUAUAUACUUAAGGCUGAAAACUCAAAAAACCGCCAUGCCUGCAAACCAUAGUAAUGAUGCUGUUAUGCAAUUCUCGUUUAAAGACAGCAGAGAGGGCAGGACUUAAUUGUUAUGCUGGUCCAGAACAAGGCGCGUGAAUUCUGAGGGCGUGAUUGAAAUGGAUUUGAACUUGACUAAGUUUCAAAUAAUCCUAUUGUCAAAAAACUGUAGUUAACCCAGAUUGAAACUGUGGAUGGUGGUCAUUAGUUAAGGGGCAGUUUGGCCCUCAAAAUUGAAAGUGGGCUAAAGUUACCAAAGCAAAGAAACUGUCACAUUUUUGGAAAUAAAUGAAGAAAGAGAACUUGCGCAAAAAGAUGCCAGACCCAUAAAAUUGCUAACUAUAUUAUAAUCUUUUGCUAGGAUGGACAAAGGAGACAUUCUCAAAGCUUCAUACGUUUAUCACUUCGAUGAGUUGCAAAAGACCUCUGCCGUGGCGGAGAUAACCCGAAAAUUCUCGACCAACGAGAACUACCUUACAGUUGGUGGUUUAUAUGCUGUCGAUCCCCAAACAACUGUGAAAGCGAAGCUUAACAACUCCGGGAAACUUGCUGCUCUUCUUCAACAUGAAAUUAAGCCAAAGUCUUUUCUUACUAUCUCUGGUGAAUUCGAUACCAAGGUGUUGGACAGGUCUCCCAAGUUCGGUUUGGCUCUUGCUCUCAAGCCCUAGUUUUAUUGUUUUUUUUUUUUUUCGUCGAAGCUGAACUACAAUUUUCCAUUUGGGUUCAGAAGUUAAAGGUAAUAAACUUGCCCCACAGACAAAUUUUUUUUUUUCCUUUUUCUUUUCUAUUGAAUCUUUUGAUUACUGUGGGUUGAUUGAUUUGGGAGGUUGCUUAGGCCAUUUAUUACUUAUUUUCGAAGGUAUUAUCCUCUUAGUUAGAUCUCAUAUGCCUUUCGUUCAAAAAGGUGCUAGCCUCAUGUGAAUUUGAUCUUGCUAUCAGAAACACUCGUCUUGCUGAGUUUGCUUUUGGAAUUCGAGAAGAUACUAACUUGACCUUUUUAGCACUUCUGUUUGUUGUUUCUUUCAAGAUGACUAUGCUGUUAUUUUUUUUGUUUUGUUUCUUGGUGUUUUGUUUAGUUAUUUUUGGCUAAAAUGCACCUUACACUCUGGAUAAGUUGUCGUUUGCUUAACGGCCAAAAUGAAAAUAACAUGCAUUUGUCCUCUCCUAAUGAUAAGAUUUUGCACCUAGAUGGGUUGAUUUUGGCAAAACUUGACCAAAUGGCCGGCUUCACGUGGAAUGCGAGUUCCGCCAGCAUCUAACUUUCUAGGUGUGAUUAGUGUAUCAUUCAGUGGGAUAAAAUGCAUUAUUUUAUUUUAUUUUAUUUUGGAGGUUCUUCUUUUUUGCAAAAUAUCAUUUAUUCAGGAGUUUAAUGUGCGCAUUUUAGUCUUUUUCGUAUGUUGUGAGAACAUAAUGCUGAUUAUCCAGAUUUUUUACUGAUAAUUUUCUCAGUUUUCGGGAGAUUCUGCAGUACACAGUUUGUUUCCCUGUUCUGAAGUAUAAAUUUCAUGAUUUAGCUUCAAGUGUUUGUUUUCUGCAGCAUGAUUAAGAGGGUAAAAAUCAUUUAUUUAUAAAUGCUUAUAGGACUUAACAGUUGCUGCAUAUAUUUUCCACAAAGUGCUUGUAUAGCAAAGAUAGUUGCUAUAUUGGGAUAUUCAUUGUGUUUGGAUGCCGGAAUAAGAAAUUCGAUGAUAUCUUACUAUUUCUUAUGAAGAUUUUCUUCGGUAAUUGGUAGUGAUGAUUUUGAUUUUCGAUUUAGUAGGAUAAAAUAUUUCAUCUGUGAUUUAAUUUUCAUUAUUAGGAAAAAAAUAAUUUAAAGACUGAAUAUGGUAUCUAGUUAGAUACUGCAUGCUUCAGAAGUAAACUAAAAGGAUACACCCAAUAUGAUUUUUAUUCAUCCAAUAGGGCUUAAUAGUUACAACCUGUUUGGAUAUUCCUCAAAACAGAGUAAUAAUUUAACUUACAGUGUAUUUUUUAUAACUCUUGAAAUAUUUACUCUUUUGGUAGUAAAAUUUGAUAUGCAAACAUCAACUUGCUAUUGAAAAAGUGAGGUAUUAAUGAUUUCCAUUCCACCUUGGAAUAAUAUGUUUGAAUGGAACUUCCUUCUACCAAAUGGUCUUAGUCAAUAAAAGACAAGUGGAGAAUAGUCUAAUCUCUCCUGCAAGAGGAAAGAACCAAAAAACGGCUUGAAAAUUGAUCACCCAAAGUAACCCAACAUGGGCAAGCUAAAGCUGAGUUACAUAACUAAUAACAAUGCUAAUAAGAAACAAGAAAGGGUGUAAAGUAAACAAAACAAAACAAAACCAAACCCUAAAUAAGAAGAAGAAAAAGGAUGGCAUAUUUAAGCACUCAUCACCCUCUCUUCCCCUCUCAUACAACAAAAGUUUAACAAUUCCAAAAGUGAUACACAUGCAAUUAUGCAUAUGAAUUUCAUGCCCUUCUCCCUAUAUUAUUCAUCUUGUUGGCCAAAGAAGAAGCACCCACAACCUUUUUUGCACCCAAUCUCUUAUCACUCAACCUCCUUGCAUGCUGCUCCCUCCCCAUCUUAAACCUUCUCUCAUUCAUCCCACUCCCUCCCUUCAAACUUGGCACCAAAUACCAACAUAUACUAGUGCAACAUAUAGCAAAAACCCUACCAAACACCACAAUGCACACCAACAUCACCACCACCACCAACAUCCAACUGUGACUCUCCCUCCACCCUCCCCAUGCAAAGCCUUUGUUUCCCUUCCGCUCCUCCUUCGCCACCGCCUUCGCCCCUCCCGCAGCUUCGCCUGCACCGCCAUCCCCAGCCAGGGUUGGCGAGGCUGGCGCCAGCUUCUGGGCACCUGAAACUCUACUCUCCUCGUCCUGUCGGUUGCGUAGCCUUACGACGACGGGGAUCCAGUCGUUCGUGCUCUUGUACAUGAAUUGCACCAUCGCGACGCCCUGCGACCCGGCCCGUGCCAUGAUCUUCUGCCUCUGGGACUCGAGGUCCAAUAGCACGGCCGAGAACUUGUCGAGCCCCCUCGUCGAGUAGGGGUUCUUGUUACCGGCCUUCUUCUUGGAUCCUUUCGGCGAGGUAGCCACCGGAGCGCGCGGGUCGUCCCCAUCGAUGUGUUUGAAGCUUGAUGUUCCACAAAACAUACUUGAAAUUUCGAGCUAAUGCGAGCAAAAAUAAGCCAAAAGUAAAUUCUUAAGAAUAGUUGGGUGUUUUGUGAUGGUUAUGGAGAUAUAAAUAUGAGAGAGAGAGAGCGAGCGAGAGAGAGAGAGAGAGAGUCUUUGGGGGUGAAGGACUUGAUGAACAAAGGAAGUGAAAAGUCAAUGGUCAACGCUCUAGGAAGAAGCUUCCACAAUCACGCAGUUGACUCGGGGGGUUGCGUUUAAUAUAUAUAUAUAUAUAUAUAUAUAUUAUAUAUAUAUAUAUAUAUAUAUAUAUAUAUAUAUAUAUAUAUAUAUAUAUAUAUAUAUUUGAAUUGGUCUCGAACUAAUCUAACUUUUUGCUUGUUUGAUUUCUCUCCACGCUUCAGCAACUUAAUUCGUUCUUCUUUUUUUUUCUGCUAAAAAUUCUAAAAUAAUUAAUUGGAUUUUAAAUUUAGGAUUUCAGAUAUUAUCAAUCAUUAAGUUCUUAGCCAGUAAUAUUAGGUACGGUCGGUUAGAACCCAAAAUUUUAAAUGUAAUUACAAUCAUUCAAACUUUCAGCCUUCACAAUAGCUCUUCAGAUAGUAACCAACCUUUAUAGCAUAAGCUCUUUUAGUUUCUUCGUCUUUUAACUUAGGCCAUAUACACUCCAUGUCUGUUUCCAAAAUUGCAAAACUUUUCUUGCAAUUUUUGUUGGUGAGCUCAGCUGUAACUACCCAAUAAUUUUAAAUUUGAAUCGUGAGGGGUUUUGGUCCAAUGGACCAACCCGCUCCUCUCAAGGUCUGUAGGAGAGCUCCUUGCCAAAGAAAAAAAAAAAAUCUAGAAUGUAUUAGUUAUAUUACUGAUGCGACAUAACCAGCCAAUUAGUUUGGUCUCUUUGAGUUCACUCGUUCCAUCAUGGUUAAUAAAAAAAAUAUUUUUGUUGUAUAUUUUACUCAAAAGAAGAGAUAUAAUUGGCUGUUAAUAGAUGAUGUAGUGUGACUGAUAUAUAUAUAUAUAAUCUCUCCCUAACCAAGUAGUUCUGACCCAUUUGCCUUGGAUCUUGGGGGCCAGGCCGAGCCACCUCUGCUGGCGCAGCACAAGGAGGUCGUGUCGUGUCGUCCCGCGCUGUUGGCCACACCCCCGAUCCUGCAUGACCCAGGCUCGUUACAGGUCGGGCCGGGCUAGGCCGGCACAGAUACUACAGUACCCGUGCCAGCUCCACCCGGCCUCUGAUCGUGACGGCGCUGCACGGCCCGCUUGACAUCCCUACCUAUAUACUAUUACACUCUCAUCUAGAGUUCGGCUUGCACAUAGUCCAAAACGCUUACACCGCAACGGAGUAAUUAAUAAAUAUCUCAGUGCUUGAAAAAUUAGUUUGCUGGACGAGAAAAGAAUAUAUUUUAUUAUUAUUAUUAUUUUUAUGGAUCUUGUUUUAUUUUAACAAAUUCAAUGUAGAAAGUCAUUUGGUGGACCGUGUCCAAGUAACGAAUUGUGGAGAAAGGAACGUACACAUAUAAUCUUAAAACUCUAUACAGGCUUUAAAAUCACAAUUUAGCUUAGUGUAUAUAUUUCAUGACAUACAUACAAAAGGCCUGAAUAUUAAAAAUCAUAUAUUCUGUCGAGUAUUCGCAAUUCGCUUGGAUAUCAUUUGUUGGGAUCAAUCGAGUACUAAGAAAUAGCGAACGCAUAACACAAUAACGAAAUAAUAAUAAAGCAUAAAAAAAAAUUAUAGAAAUCACACAAUCGAGAACGCAAAAAUUUACGUAGUUCAACCAAAACCUACAUUUAUAGAAACCAGAGUAAGAAUUAGCUUCACCAUAAAGUAGUUAAGAAUAUAAUGUCUUUUUCAACACUAUACGGAAAACACCACUUGUAGUACAAGAAGAAAGAAACCAAGAUUAAAAUACUCACCAAAGAACCUUGGUUGGAAUAACCCUAACACUAGGUUGAGUGAACCCCUCCAACCGACGUUCUCCGAUCUUUUCCUCCAAAUCGAAACACUCUCUGAGCCUCUCUUCUUCUCUCCUAUUUUGGUGAUUUUUCGAAACCCUAGUUUUUCUCUCAGAAGCUUCUCCCAAAGUUCCUCAUCAAAAUGUCCUCACCAGGGCUAUCAUGAUACAAUAUAUGGACCAUAAACUCCGGGUUCAAAACCGACUCGAACCGUCGAAUCCGACCAGCUGGAUUCCCAAAAUCGAUCGAUCGGAUUUGAUGCACCCUAAUCCGACCGAUCGGAUGGUUCGAAGUAGAUUUAUGAACUCGAUUCCGACAGAUUGGAAUUCCGAGCCGGCCGAUCGGAUUGUUCGCAGAAGAGGGACCCAACAUUUUGGUGCUACUUGAUGCUAAGAUAUAUAGAACUUUGGAAAACUUGCUACUUUAUAUGCAUAAACCUUUUAGAAUUUGUGGAUUACAUCUAUUAUUAUUAGUUUGAUUAUGUUUUAGUUUUAAAAUGUCUAGACAAAAAAUAUUUAGAGCUUAUAUGAACUAACCCCACUUGAUUUGAAUAUCUCCCGUACGACAUUUAAAAACUAUUGCACUUCAAAAUUUGGAUACAUUAUUUAUUGUUAUGGACUUGAAUACUAUAAACAAUAUAAGUUGCGUGAUUAUAGAUUUAUUAAAAAAGCGAUGAGUCUAAUAUUUAUACCAGAAACACCAUCAAAUAGAUUAAAUUAAACAAACUAAAAGAUUGGAUAUCAAAAUCAAUCAAAAGGGAUCAUAAUUCCGAUAAGUUAUAUACAUUUUUAGCUAAUUUUUUUAAUUUAUAAUGUACUGUCUAAAACGACAAGCAAACCAAUUAAUAAAAAAUAAUUUCUCCAACUUAUUCCCCCACCUAAGGGUAGCUAGAAACAAUAAUAAAAGAAUAUAUAUGUAUGAUGCCCAAAUUUUAAGCAACACACUCAUCCCAUAUUCCCAUGAGAGAGAGAGAGAGAGAGAGAGAGAGAGAGAGAGCAUACCAACAAAUGUAAGGCAAAAUCCAUAAUGAGAUGCUUCAAUAUCUCUCACUUGAAACCACCAUCCCUUUCAUAUCAUAGUUGAGUAGAAUGGAAGCUAAAUAUUCACUUUCUUUUUAUAGCUAUAUAUAUAUAUAUAUAUAUAUAUAUAUAUAUUGUAGAGGGUUUUUUUCUUUUCAAGUUGGUGAAGUAGGCCUAUAUAUAAAUAGUGCAUUGUUCCAAGUUACACAUGCAAUAUAGUUGCUAAGAUUAUUAGAUGUAACCAUUUCAUUCAUUCAUUCAAAAAAAAAAAUUACAAAUAAACACUCUAUGUUUGCCCAUUGGAUGAGCCAAAUUGACAUUAAUGCAGUCGCAUCAAGGGGGCCACAUAGUACAUUGUGCACUGGGGGAUCCAAUCACAGGGGCUAUUUAGUUGUACGUACUUAUUCAAUUGUAACGGAUCCAAAUACGAUAUCUAAUUUAUUGUAUUUUCGUAUUUAAAUUUACUUAUUGUAGUUGGAAUUAUACGAUGAGGCUCAACUGCCUGUCAUAGUUAGAAUUACAUAAUUCCAACUGCAAUAGUUGAAAAAAAUAAUUUUAAACAAAAAAUAAAUUUAUUUCUCUAAUAAUUUUUUAAGUAGAAAAAAUACAUAUUUUUUCCUACAAAGGAGAUAAUUAAUCUUACCAGCUCAUAUGCAAAGUGAUAAAAUUUUAUAAAUGCACAUCUCAACUGCAUACAACAAAACAAAUUAUGUAUAAUUAUAGCAUUUUUCACUACAUUCAAUUAAACAAAAUACAAAUAAUUAUAACUACUGUAUUUUCAACUAUAUACAUCUUUAACUAUGCUGUAUAUAUAAUUACGUCCUUCCUAUUGGAUCUUUAAAGCGAUUGCUGAUUCAAUGACAAUUGCAAAAACCUUUAGGGCUUGUUUGGUUCAUCCAUUUUGGGUAUGGAAUGGGAAUCGACAAAUCCGGUUAAUUUUGUUUGGUUCGCAUGAAUCGGUUUGGGAUUUCUAUUCCGGACUGGAAUGGGAAUGGCCCAUUAGCCUUCAACUUGAUUCCGGUCUUCUAACCAGGAUUGAGAUUUCAUUCGGGAAGCCCACUAAGUUCUCGAAGCCCAUGUGACCAUCUCACCCUCUUUCUCUUCACCCCUUUCUCAUCAAAAAAAAAAAAAAAAAAAAAAAAAAAAAAAAUCUAUCCUCUCUCAAAAUCCUAUCCCUAACCCAUAUCAAUAAAAGUUUUUAAAAAUAAAUUUGAUAUUUUUUUUGGAAAACUUAUUAGAGAAUAGUAUUAUAUUUUUUAUAAAUUUUAAAUAAUAUAAAUUUAUAUUUGAGAGUAAAAUUAGUAUUAUAGUAUUCUAUAAUUUUUUUAGUUUAUACGAACCAAACAAUGAAAUAUGAGUAACUCAUUCCAAUUCUCAAUCCACAAAUAAACCAAACGUCUUGGGGGAGUGAGCCAUUCUAAUUAUCAUUCCAAUUCAUUCACAUUCCAUUAUCCAUUCCAAUUCCACCCUUGAACCAAACAAGUCCUUAAUUUCUUGAUAAAAUAUACACUGUCAUGGCUAAACUUUGACGGGUAAUACAGUUAUUAACCACAAGUGGUUUAAGCAGUUAGGUUUGUGAGGAUUGUCAUAGCUAACUUCGUCCCUUCUACUGGAAUGUUUAGCAUUAGUUAAACAAUCACUGGAACAUCUUACCUUUUGUUGCAUCAUAUUCGCUGUCGAUCGAUCUAUGUGUGCUGAUGGAUUUGGUUUGAUUCCCUUUUUAAGUUUUAAAUUGUAUUGAUGAAUUAAUGGUGUACUGUGAUGGUGACUCUCGCAGUUAUGUGAUUCGAGUUGAUUUCAUGCUUUGGUUUUACUUAGUUGUUAAAUUGGUUUUCAAUCGCGAUUUCUAAGUGAAUUUACAAAACGGAGUUAUGGAGGGGUUUUGAUUUUGUAUUGUGUGUGUCGGCGGAGUUUGGAGGACGUUAUGUCAUCAUCCUGCUAUAUUAUAAUUAGUGUGGGUAAUGAUUAUACGUACGCUUGUCUCUUAUAUAGUGAAUAUGAAAAUAAUAAUGUUAGUAUUGUUUAAUUUUUGUGCCUAAUGCCACUGUCUGUGUGGAUAGAAAAAUCCUACGCAUGUGGCUCGUCUUGAUUUUAGUACAGCAUAUUGUUGGCUUAAAUAGACCAGUAUUUUACCCUGUGGCGGAGGCCAUGUGUGGGCCGAGUCAUGUUCGAAGUGACGUGAGACUGAGUGGGCCGAGUCAUGUUCGAAGUGGCGUAAGGUCGGAUGGAUCGAGUCACAAUCAAGACCUGUGGACGCUGUAUUUGUACGCUUUAAGUGAAUCGGUUGCGUAUUUCUAACAACUCGAGCUUUUGGGAUUAAUGGUUAGCGCCAACGAUCCGACAAGUGGUAUCAGAGCCAGUGAUCACGGGUUCAAUUUCCGCAUACUGCAAAUGUGUGCAGGUGCUAGAGAGGGGAUUGUUUGCUUAAAAGGGCCAGUAUCCUAUCCUGCGGCGGGAGAUCAUGUGUGGACCGAGUCAUGUUCGAAGUGGCGUGAGACUAGGUGGGCUGAGUCAUGUUUAAAGCUCGAAUUUUUUGGAUUAAUGAUUAGCGCCAACGAUCAGACAUAUAUCACACUCAAAAUGAUGGCAAUAGGAGAGAUUGAACAAAUCAAACUCUCGAGAAUAUAUCGAGGGCAUGUGUUCUCGGGAGUGUUUGGCAUCGAUUUUUAUGAAUGGUAGAGCUCGCCUACACUAAUAGCUUCCAGUGGAGCAUUGGAAUGGCUUCUUACGAAGCUUUGUAUGAAAAGAAAAUACCAAUCCUCGUUACAUUAGAGCGAGAUCGGUGAAAGAACGACAUUGGUCAUGAUGUGCUAUAAGAAGCUGAGGAAAAAGUUUGAGUUGCACAGGUGCGACUCCUGGUUGCGCAAAGCCGACGAAGGUGUUAUGAUGAUCAGCAUCGGCAUGAUUUUAAGAUUCAAGAUGAAAAAUCACAUGUGUUUGACGAGGGUGUGAAAUUAACGGUUCGGGACGCGAGGAAAGUUAUGCCCUGGCUAUGUUGAUCCCUUUGAAGUGUUGGAGUUAUUUUUCAUCAGUAUGAUUGGAAAAAAUUAAGUAUUUUUUGUAAUAGGUUUAACUCAUAGAAUUUAUCCUAAACCUAUCACGUUGUGUGAAAUGAAUAGGUCAGAGUUUAUGGCAGGGUGAUAAGGUAAUCACAUAUUAAAAUGAUACCAUAAGAAUCUUCUUUUGGAUACUUUUGUAUAAAAUAGAGACAUGUAAUUGAAUAUUGCGAAUCCGUGACAAGACCUAUCCGUAUUGUUGGGUCCCUAGUAUUUUGUUUUCUCGCCCUAAUUCCAAGUUCUCUAGCUAGUAGAUGUGUUGUUUUCAAUCAAAUAUACUUAUAUUCUUUUUUUUUCUAUAAAUUUUUACUAAAAAUUUAUAUCCGUCGCAUCGCGUGUGUUCCUACACUAGUGUCACAUAAAAUUAAUAAAUCAAGUUUAAUGCGUAAUGAACAACGCUAAUACUAAGCUUAUUUAUCAAUUUUAUGCUAGUUUUUGUUUUAAUAUACUUUUUAUAGUUAAAUAUAUGAGAUAUUUGAUGCCCUAAAGCACAUUUUUCUCUUUAACUUGUAGACUAAUAUAACAUGUGUAUCCAACUACAUGCCAUUUCUUUUGAUCGUAUUUUAUAUGAAUAAUGUUUACAUUACAUGCUGCUUCAAAAAUUUUGAAAUUUUAUUUUUGUUUUUACUAAAUCCGUCGAAGAAUCACUAGUUUUUCACAUUUUUAUUUUGUUAUAUACCUUUUAUUAGAAAAAAUAUAUGACAUUUGGAAAACUUUAUACUUGUCACGGUAAAACUCACGUCAAAAGAGAAUAAAAAAUUGAGUACAAAUAACCAGAAAAAUAGUAUUAUUGGUUUUCGCGAGAUAUACUAAUAAUUUAGUUUAAGUACAUGUAUCAAAUUUAUUGGAUAUAAUCUAAUUCAGUUAGUAAAUAAUGAUCACAAUUUUAAUAAAUUUAUCCAUUAACAUUAAAUUAAUUUCUUCAUUAACAAACAAAGUGAAAUUAAUUACUAAGAUUCAAAUCCGACAAUGUGCGUCAGAUUCAAACUGGUUUGUUAUUUGAAAACGGGUCCAUUGCCAACUCACCCUAGACCAUUUUAAGUUCCUGCAUAAUCACACAUAUACCCUUCCCACUUUCUGAAAAAAUUAUAAUUUUUUGAGUUACUUGAUGCCUAAAUAAUAAAUUUAAUUUUCAAAAAAAUUUAAUUUUUUGAACAUCAAGCUACUCAGAGAUUAUAGAUUACAUCAAAAUAUUUAAAAUUUUAAUUUUUAAAACCCAUAGCUAUAAAUUGUACUAAUCUAUAUAUAUGGACUUAAUUUCUUUUUCUGUGUGUUAUAGGUUUUUUGGGAUUUUACAUACCAUUAAUUCUCGUUUAAAUUAUAAAUUUUUAGUCAAACUCCAACCAUAAAUCGCCCCAAAGACAUGUGGUUUCUGCGGAUUUAAGAUAUGGUUUUUACCAUAAGAUAUUAAUUUUACUAUCAAAAUUAUUAAAAUAUAUAAGAUGAACCAAAAAAUUCGGUAUUACAUUAAUGCACUGAACCAAAUGAAAUAAUACGAUAUUAGUAGUAAUCUAAAUAACAGAUACCGGAUUACUAUACCGGAUUAUUAAUCAUGUUGAGAUAACCAGCGAUGUUACAUAAUGCGAACUAAACAGGCCCUAAAAAUCUAAUUUGAUAAUGUGAUGACUAAAAGUAUUAUAUUUAUACUAUCAGAGGUCAAAAAAGUCUAAAAACACUUAUAAUUUUUUUCCUCCAAUACAUUAAAAUUUAUGGUUGUAACAAUUAUAUGCUUCUCCCAUAGUGAUUAUAACAAUAAUUUUAUAAUAUAAAAAAUACUUUUAUAAAUUUUAUAAUUUUUAUAGUAUAAAAAUAAUAUUUUUAGUUACACCAUAUUAUCAAACUAGCCAAACUAGUACAUGUAUAUUGAGAUAUCAUAUGUAACAACACAGUCCACUAAUUUUAUUGAGUUCAAACCACUGGAUGAGGAGUAAAACUCUCAUUUCCCAAAAUAAAAAUAAAGUUAGAGGCAAAGGCUCGAAAAAAAAAUAUAUAUUCUCCUUUAAAUAGAAAGAAACUGUUAUAAUUAGUCUAUGGUCCAUAUCCUCUCUCUCUCCUCCAUUAUUAUUAGGCUAAAUUGCAUAUGUAGUCCUCAAACUUUAAAGUUUGCGACACUACAGUUCUCAAACUUUAAUUUAUUAUAAUUUUUUAGUUUAAUUUUAUUAGAUUUUUAUAAUUAAUUUUGACAGUCUAAUUUAAUAAAUUAAAUCACAGCGUGCGAUAAAAUAUAAAAAUUAUUGAAAUAUCGUGUUACUAUUAUAUUGUCAAAACAUGUCAGUUAAAUUAAACUGUAAUAUUUUAUUAUAAUAAUUUAAAAACUUCAUAUAAAAUAUUAUUAAAAAUUAAAAUUUGAGAACCCAAAUAAGCCUAAAAAAAGGUUGAGGACCAAAAGUGCAGUUCACUAUUCUAUUAUUAUUAUUAUUAUUAUUAUUCUCUCUCAUCAUUGCAUCACCAUCUUCCACUUGCUUCAUCCCUCCGCAAUUUUCUGCAAUCCCCACCACCUCUCUCUCUCCCCCUCUCUAUCUCUUAUCUCCAUCUCUCCUCCCAUUUUUUUUCCUCUCUCCUCAUUCACCCUCUCUCUCUCUUUCUCUUUCUCUCCUCCUCUGUGUUUGUGUUUGUGUUCUCUCAUCAGGACACAAGAGAGUUCGUAACACAAAACAGAGGAGGUGUAGAAACGAAUAUCAAGAACAUAUAUAUAUAUAUAUAUAUAUAUACACACACACAUAAAGAGGUAAUUUGUUACUGUUCUAUUGUAGUUGAUAAAAUUCUCUGAUAACUAAGGUGGUGUACGUAGAAAGGAAUUAAGCAGAGUAAGAGACAGAGAGGGAGAGGGAGAAGGAGAGGGGUGGGGGGGAUCGGAAUGGCGUUUCAGGGGACGACGACGAAGUGCACGGCGUGCGACAAGACGGUGUACUUGGUCGACAAGCUCACCGCCGACAACCGGAUCUACCACAAGGCCUGCUUCAGAUGCCACCAUUGCAAAGGCACUCUCAAGGUAACAUAACCAAACCAAACCAAACCAAAAAAAAUGCAUGAGUACAAAUAAAAAUAUCAUGCACAAAUACCAACCUCUCCAAAUUUGUAGAUUCUAAAAAGGAUGUCAUCUCUGUUGCUUGAUUGGUUGCUUGGUUUGUUGGAGUCCCAAACUUUUAUGUCUCUGCUUUCUUUUCUUUUCUUUUUUUUUUAUUUUUUUCCUUUUUUUUAAGAGGCGUUUGGUUUCUCGCAAAAUUAUGAAAAACUGUUUUCUUAAAAAAAAAAAGUUUUUACAGCAAAUAUAUAUAUAAUUAUAUAUAUAUAAUGGAGCUCUAUGUUUUUGAAAAAUACUAAAUUUUUUGUGCUGGUAAAUUUUUGACCGUUGGAUUAAAAGAUCUGCGGUUAGGAUGACGGGGGACCUUUAGGGUUGAGUAGGUGGUUGGUUAUAUAGUAUAAUCUAAUAUGUGAAAAUGAUCAAAAGGUGGAUCUAUGUGUUUGGUAUUUUUACAAACAUCAUAACCGGAUUCUAUAUAUAUAUAUAUAUAUAUUCAAAAUUUUAUUUUUUUUAUAAAGAUUUCAGAAGAAAAGGUAAUUUUUUCUGAGAACCAAAAGGACAGAAAAUAAAUUUUCUAAAAUUUUUUUUGGGUAAUCAACCAUUCCUUCACUCACCAUGGUUUUGUGGAUUUUUUUUGUUUUCUUUUCUUUCUUUAUUAUUAAACUAUACAGCAUUUUAGGACAGGACAUAUCUCAAUUUUCAAUUGUCCAGCUAAUGCAAAAAAAUUUUAUUCAUUUAAUUGAAAUAAACCCAAACAAAAAUUUAGAUUAUAUCAAUGAAGAGAAAAGUAAAGUUCAAUGGCCAAUUUUGUAAUAAUAUUUCCUGAUACCCCUUAAUAGAUCUCUAAUAAAUGUUGCCUCAUCAUGAUUGCUAUUAAGGCUUUUCAAUCAUAUAAUAAUAAUAAUAAUAUUUUCUGAUAUAUAAUAAGUUAAAUGGUCAAAUGUACAUUUAGUCCCUGAACUUUUGAUGAAUUGCAAUUUGGUCCAUGAUCCUUUUGUGAUCUGACCCAAUUUCCUGCUAAAUUCUCUAACAUCACUAUGAACCAAAUUGGAACCAUAUGUAGUAUAUCAACAUGAAAACUAUGAUCAUGACUCAAAUCGAUUAACCCAUGAAUACGGAAUCCGCGAUUUCAAGGUUCGGAAGGCUUGAAAAGCACUCAAUUCUUCAAAUCUUGCAUCAUAUUUUGUUCCAAUUUUAUGCUUCCAAAAUGCAUGAUCUUCAAAAUGAAACAAGCCUCAAAAAUCUGUAGAAGUUGUUUCUAGUUGAUCUUUACGUAACAAAUAACGACUACCGAUCGCAGCUCGGCAAUUACAAUUCGUUCGAAGGAGUGCUCUACUGCAGGCCGCAUUUCGACCAGCUUUUCAAGAUGACCGGAAGCCUCGACAAAAGCUUCGAAGGUAAUCGAUCGAUUAGAGCUUAAACUCAAACUUUUGUUUUGGACUAAUUAGAUGUUAAUAUUUUCGCCUCUCUUUAACUUCAGGGACUCCAAAGGUUGUCAAGCCAGAAAAGCAUGUUGAUACUGAGGUAUGUGCACAUUUGGCCCCUACUUUUUCCGUCGAGAUGUACAGAUUCAGAAACUGAUAUGUUUCAAUGAAAGAACAGAGACCGCAUUUUUAAUUUAUCGAAUGUUCGGGGCGUAUGAUCAAUGGAUAAGGCGAGAUAUGCAUUACAGCUAAAUUUUUGUACUACUACUGCUGGUGCUGAAUUUGAGUCUUUGCUUAAACAGAACGCGAACAAGGUCUCCGGUGCAUUCGCUGGCACGAGGGAGAAAUGCGUUGGAUGCAAGAAGACCGUUUAUCCGAUCGAAAGGGUAUCAUUUUGAAUCACUUCUCUGCUUGCUUAAACUUCUUUAGAGUCAUUUUGCUGUCAUAAGUACCCUGCAGCUGAACAAGUGUUGCUGAACUUCUAGAGCUUCAAUGUUUGAGUUCCUGCUUUUGGGGCUUCAAGGAUUGUUUCAGCUUCUAGACAAAAGUGUGUUUUGGAGUUUUCCGGCAGAAAUAAGCUAAAAGAUGUGCUUCGCGGUCCCAACAGCAAAAACUCCAGUUUGAAACUUCUGCUUCUGCUGCAAAAAGAGAUUGUUUUUCACGAAAACAGGCGCCUAACUUCUAAUAACUAAUAAAAGCAUAAGCUGCUGUUGAACCCUAAACUAACUGUACCUUCAAUCUCCUAUGCAGGUCACUGUGAAUGGAACAGCUUAUCACAGAAGCUGCUUCAAGUGCACUCAUGGUGGAUGUGUCAUAAGCCCUUCCAACUACAUUGCUCAUGAGGGAAAGCUCUACUGCAAACACCACCACAUCCAGCUCUUCAAGGAGAAAGGGAAUUACAGCCAGUUUGAGAAUGAGCAAGAGAAAACUGCGAGCGAAAGCGCCGCGGCAAAUGGAGAAGCACACUAGCUGUAAUUCUCGUCGACAUGGCCACAUGCAUUUCUCCGCGAUAUCUUCGAGAGUGUAUAAAUAUCAUAAGAUGAUGGUUGAUGAUGAUGUAUUGAAACAUAAAAAGAGUUGUUUUGUGUUCUUCAAUGAGAGUGGUGUGUUGGUCCAGUGUUUGCAUGUAGAGACUUUUGUUUGGGCUUUUAUAUUGUGUUUGGGUUCUCAUUAUCUUGCUUGAUUAAAUGGACUUCCCCUUUUGUUUUUUCAAUUUUGUGUGUUUGUGUUUCUUUACUUUGCUUAAACUUUCAUUGUUAUAUGUUAAUUGUGGAAUUGAUUAAAGCUUCUGAAGUUGCACCUCAAUGGACCAAAACACUUUCAGAGGAUCUGCAACAACAUUGAAUGGAGAUAUCAAAGCAUUUGCAUAUCAACAAACAAUACAUGGCCAUCACAGCUCAAAUGAUUAUCCUCUUCCAUUUUGUUUUCAAUCAACAUUGCUCUCACUUUGCAUCAUCAAAUGAUUAUCCUCUUCCAUUUUGUUUUCAAUCAACAUUGCUCUCACUUUGCAUCAAACAUCUGCACUCCUAAUUCCAUUUCCCACUGAUACACAUCAAAUGAAAAAAAGAGAAAAAAAAAAAAGUGUGACAUGUGACAUAGCAAUAAUGGGAACUUGGUCAAAAAUAAAACCAACAACCUAUUCAUCUUUUAUUGCAAUCAUAAUGGUGUUAGUAAAAAAAUGGGUUGGACACACUCUUUGCACCAACUUGUGUGCUGCAUUUCACAUGCCACCAACUCAAAGAUACUGACAUCCCAGCUGUCUGUAGACCAAAACAGCAUGAUGUCUUUCCAACCUUUGCUUACAGAUGAUCGAUUGUUUGCUAGCAUAGUUUAGUGUACUUAAUUGAGUAUUAAGAAUUAUUUAGCAAAUAAUAAUGAUGAUACAGUACUUCAGGGUAAACUUCAAUUUGCCCCCGUUAUGGUAUAACGGAUAUUUACUUUGCCACUCUGUAAUUCAAAAAGUUGCACAUUACUGCCAUAUAGUAUAGUGCAUUUUCACAUUGUCUCUCUGUAGUUCAAAAUUUAUAUUUCGCUAUCAUAUAAUUUUAUUUUUCUUUCACUAUAAGGACUUAUUGUUAAACAUGAUACCAUCCUACGAUUUUUUAAAAAAUUUACUUUCCUACCCUAUUCGAUGAUAGAUAUUUUUUGCUAAAACUAAAUUAAAACUACAAAAUAGUUAAAUGCAAUCUUUUAAAUCACAGAGUGAUAAAGUAAAAAUACGCUAUACUAUAGAAGGGGCAAGUUGAAGGUUGCCCAAGAACUCAAGCAUAUAAAAAUGCUUAUGUAACAUUGGCUCUAUUAGGCAUUGUUCGAAUGCGUGUGUGUGUGUAUAUGUACAUAUAUAUAUAUAGAAUUAGACUGCUAUACUAUCUAUAGUACUAGAGCUCCGGUACUAUAGUCUUGUUUUCGAUCUUAGGGUAUUCAAAUUAACGACCCACACCGUUAAAUAUAAUUUAGGGUAUAUGAAGUUCUAAGAAAUAAAAUUUUAGUUUUUUUCAACAUUGUUUACUAAGUAAAUAAAUUAUAUCAAAAUAAACGGUAAAAAUUGAAUAAUUUUUAAAAUUUGAGUAUAGGACUUUUAAAUUCAAGAUUAAGAAUGUUAACUUUAAUCUAGAUAAUUUAAAGUAUUUUCUAUCAAAAUUUGAAGAAAUUUAGAUUCUUCUGCACCAUUAAACUCCAAACUCGCCAUAGUAGCCAUUGAAAAUUGACAAUUUUGAAAUGGUUUGAUCAUAAAGUAAACUAUGUCGAAAAAAUAUAAAAUUUUAUUUCUAAAAACUUUAAAUACCUUAUAUCAGUUUUAACGGUGCGGAUCGUUAAUUUGAACACUCUAAGAUCGAAAACAAGACUAUAGUACCGGAGCUCCGGUACUAUAGAUAAUAUAGAAGACUAGCUCUCUCUCUCUCUCUCUCUCUCUCUCUCUCUCUCUCUCUCUCUCUCUCUCUCUCUAUCUCUAUAUAUAUAUAUAUAUAUAUAUAUAUAUAGAAUUGCCCUUGGUGCUUCUAAGUUUUUAACUCUUGGAUCUACUCCUUAAUUACUAACACCUUUUGAAUCAAACACUAUUCCACCUAUCACCACCUAUCACAAUCAUUUCAACCCUACAUCUCUCUAUCCAAUAGUUAAAAACUCAAAAUCACCAGGAGUGGUACUUUGAGAGUAUUCUAGCUCAACUCUCUCUCUCUCUCUCUCUCUCUCUCUCUCUCUCUCUCUCUCUCUCUAUAUAUAUAUAUAUGGAACUGACUUAAACUAUAGCUUGUUGUGGCAAUAAAACCAAACUUCUUCAGGUGAUGAUUUUGGUAAUUAAUCUUCCUAAAUCAUGAUUUGAGUCCUUGGAUGGCUCUGCUGUUAGAUGUGAUGCUUUGAUAGAAAUAUCCUGACAUGAAACACAUGAGAUACUGUGAUCAAAUUCAAUAAAGCAAACGGAAAAUAUCAUGAUAAAAACAACUUUUUGAAGAUAAAAUAGUCAUUCAAAGUGGCCCACAGUACAGGUUAAUUUUCCACCUUGUCUUUUAGUUUAUACUGGACUCAUUUUCAUAAAUUUAGUUAAAAAAGAAUAAUCUUAUAUUCUGUGAUUUAUUUCUCUUUAAAUUUAGUUAAAAAAGAAUAAUCUUAUGUCACCAUGAGAAACACUACCUACUUUCAAUCAUUGAAGCACGGAGUAUAAAAGAAAGGGUCAAUUGCUUAUAUAUCCCUGAAAAGUUUUCGACUUUCUGAUUUACCCCUUUUAGAAGGCUAAUAUUGAAAAUAUCAUUUUUAUGUUCCAACCUAUUUCUAAUAUAUCCCUAGAGUUAAAAUCUGUUAAUUAACUCUGUUAUCUCUGUAUAAUUACUAUUUUGCCCUUUCAAAUAUACCCUUCCAUCAUCACUGAUUUUCUUAUUUGCCCUUAAAGUCAGAGACACAAAAAAUAUUUUGACUUUUGGUCUUUUCCAAUAUACUCCUCUACCGUCACCAAUAUUUUUUAUUUGCCCUUAAGUUAAGGGCAAGAUUGGCAUUUUAAUUUUUUUUAACUGUGCUAGAUAUUUAACUCACGUUAACCCAAGUUAACUUAACAGGAGAUAACUACGGAGGUAUUUUGCAAUAACGGUGGAACAUAUGAGGAGUAUUUUAGAAAGAAAAAAAAAAGCAGGAGUAAAUCGGAUAUUUUCAAACUAAUGAGGGGCAUAUAGACAAUUAUCCCGUUCUCAGUUAAAAGGAUGAAUGAAAAGGAGACAAAUGGCAUUUAACAGAAGAGAAAGUUUUGCUCAUAAAAUUUUUUUUAGUAGUUUGCUUUAUUUUGCACUUUUAUUUUUUACCUAAUAUUUCCAUAUUAGGUUCUCCUAAGGAGUUGUUUGAAGUGAAAAAAAAAAAAAAUUUCUAAUCAUAAUCGAAACUGAUUAGAUUCAGACUCAAAUAAUUUUAAUAGGUCUCAUGUUGACCAGAAAAUUUUGGGGCCAAUAAUUACAAUUUAAAAUCCACAAUAAGCCCAUUUAAAAAUAUAAUUGGGUGGGCCUUACGAAAGCCCAAACAAAUAAAAAAAAAAAAGUGAGAGGGGGCCUCAUUCCAGCCCGUUAAAUAUUAUCAUUUGGGCCCAAUAAAUUAAAGCGGGCCUAAUCAACGACGGCCCACAUCCACAUCAUAUAAAAUAUCGGUUCGAAAUUUGAUUUCAAAUCACAAUCCAUUCAAAAUUCGAUUUUUGAAUUUCGAAUUUCGAACUCCCAACCAAUUCCCAAAAUAUCAUCCAACAACCCAUUCAAAGUUCAAUUUCGAAUUUUGAAUUCCCUAACAAAUUUUCAAAAUAUCAUUCAACAAUCCAUUCAAAAUUCGAUUUCGAAUUUUGACCCAACAACCCAUUCGAAAUUCGAUUUCGAAUUUCGAAUUUCGAAUUUCGAAUUUCAAAUUUCGAAUUCCCAACCAAUUCCCAAAACAUCCUCUAACAACCCAUUCGAAAUUCGAUUUCGAAUUUCGAAUUCCCAACCAAUUCCCAAAAUAUCAUCCAACAACCCAUUCGAAAUUCGAUUUCGAAUUUCGAAUUCCCAACCAAUUCCCAAAACAUCAUCCAACAACCCAUUCGAAAUUCGAUUUCGAAUUUCGAAUUCCCAACUAAUUCCCAAAACAUCCUCCAACAACCCAUUCAAAAUUUGAUUUCAAAUUUCGAAUCAAUCCUCAAAAUAUCCUCCAACCAUCCAACAACCCAUUCAAAAUUCGAUUUCGAAUUUUGAAUUUUCAACCAAUCCCAAAUAUCUUUCAACCAACCACAACAACCUAUUCAAAAUUCAAUUUUGAAUUUCGAAUCCCUCAAAAUAUCUCUCACCACCCCUCCCAUUAUAAAUACGAGAAUCAAGAUCAAUACGGGGGAUGAUACGAUUUUACAAAAAAAAAAGAUAGAUUGCUACACACAUUCCCACGUACAAAAUAUUCAAAGGAGGAAAGAUCGCCGAGCCGCGGAAAGGAGGAGAGAUCACUCGAGCUGCGGAAAGGAGGAGAGAUCGCCGAGCCGCGGAAAGGAGGAAAGAUCGCCGAGUCGCAGAAAGGAGAAGAGAUCACUCGAACCGCUGAAAGGAGGAGAGAUCGCCGAGCCGCGAAAAGAAGGAGAGAUCGUUGAGCCGCUUCAUCCAAUCCAUCAACAGGUAGAAAAAAAAAAAAAGAAAGAAAGAAAGAAAGAAAGAAAAUAAAACAAUAAUAAAACACAAAAGAAAAUUCUCUUCUUCCCCCCUUCUUUUUUUUUCUUUUUUUGGUCCUGCUACCGUAGUCAUCCAUACCGUCUUGAUGACUUCGAUGGGAGAGUGGAGGGGAGCCAAUGGCUUCCCGUUUCUUCGGACCUCUCAAUACCCCAUUCGAAGUUGUUGAUGAUGGAAUGGGUGAUCUACAUUGCCGCGACCACCCCAACAUCGCCGGUUUGAUACUUUCGAAAGAAGAUGGGAGGGGAAUCAUUGAUUCCCCGUUUCUUCGGACCCUUCAAUAUUUCUUCGAAAAUGUCAAAUCAAAUCCGACAGCCGAACAGAUCCGUGCCACCGUCAUCAACUUCACCGACGACAUCUACAGCAUCGCCGGUUUGAUACUUUCGAAAGAAGAGGGGAGGGGAAUAUUUGAUUCCCCGUUUCUUCGGACCCUUCAACAUUUCUUCGAAAAUGUCAAAUCAAAUCCGACGGCCAAACAAAUCCGCACUACCGUCAUCAACUUCAUCGACAUCAUCUACAACACCGACGGUUUGAUACUUUCGAAAGAAGAGGGGAGGGGAAUCUUUGAUUCCCCGUUUCUUCGGACCCUUCAACAUUUCUUCGAAAAUGUCAAAUCAAAUCCGACGGCCAAACAAAUCCGCACUACCGUCAUCAACUUCAUCGACAUCAUCUACAACACCGACGGUUUGAUACUUUCGAAAGAAGAGGGGAGGGGAAUCUUUGAUUCCCCGUUUCUUCGGACCCUUCAACAUUUCUUCGAAAAUGUCAAAUCAAAUCCGACGGCCAAACAAAUCCGCACUACCGUCAUCAACUUCAUCGACAUCAUCUACAACACCGACGGUUUGAUACUUUCGAAAGAAGAGGGGAGGGGAAUCUUUGAUUCCCUGUUUCUUCGGACCCUUCAACAUUUCUUCGAAAAUGUCAAAUCAAAUCCGAUGGCCGAACAGAUCCACGCCACUGUCAUCAACUUCGUCGACGUCAUCUGCAGCCUCGCAAGAAGAGGGGAGGGGAAUCUUUGAUUCCCCGUUUCUUCGGACCCCAAAUCAAAAUUAAGACGGGGAUUUCUUCGAACCCCAAAUUGGAAUCAAAACGGGGAUUUCUUCGGACCCCAAAUCAGAACCAAACGGGGAUUUCUUCGGACCCCAAAUCAAAUUGGAAAAUCAAAUCUAAAUUGGAGAGUCAAACGGGGAUUUCUUCGGACCCCAAAUCAAAUCCAAAUUAGAGAAUCAAACGGGGAUUUCUUCGGACCCCAAAUCAAAUCCAAAUCAGAGAAUCAAACGGGGAUUUCUUCGGACCCCAAAUCAAAUCCAAUUGGAGAAUCAAACGGAGAUUUCUUCGGACCCCAAAUCAAAUUGAAAAAUCAAAUACAAAUUAAAAAAUCAAAACGAAAAUUUAUUCGGACCCCAAACCCAAAUUGAGAUAAAAAGGGGAUUUCUUCGGACCCCAAAUCAAACCAAAAUCAAAAAGGGAUUUCUUCGGAUCCGAAUCAAGUUGCAAAAGAGGACUACCUCGAACCCGAAAUAGAAUUAAAAAGAAAAUCAAGUUCACAUAGGAACCCAAACUCGAACCCAAAUAAAUCCAAACCCAAACCAAACCUAGUCCACAAAUAAACCCACAAAUAAACCCAAACUCGAACCCAAAUAAAUCCAAACCCAAACCAAACCUAGUCCACAAAUAAACCCACAAAUAAACCCAAACUUGAACCCAAAUAAACCCAAACCUAAAUCAAGUCAAGUUCAAACCCAAACAAAACCCAAAACCCAAAUAAAUCCAAACCUAAAUCAAGUCAAGUUCAAACCCAAACAAAACCCAAAACCCAAAUAAACCCAAACCUAAAUCAAGUCAAGUUCAAACCCAAACAAAACCCAAAAAUCCAAAUAAAUCCAAACCAAACCAAGUCCACAUACAAAGCCAAACGGCCCAAACCUAACCAAACCAAGUCCAAAUAAACAUCCAACCAAAACCAAAAUAAACCGAAACCAAACCAAGUCCACAUAAAUAACCCCAAACCCAUUCCAGAAUCAAAUCCAAAGCCAAACCAAACCUCAUGGACCAAAUCCCAUGAGCCAAAACCAAGUUUAUGAACCAAAUCCCAUGAACCAAAACCAAACUUCAUGGACCAAAUCCCAUGAGCCAAAACCAAGUUCAUGAACCAAGUCCCAUGAACCAAAACCAAACCUCAUGGACCAAAUCCCAUGAACCAAAACCAAACCUCAUGGGCCAAAUCCCAUGAACCAAAACCAAGUUCAUGGACCAAAUCCCAUGAACCAAAACCAAGUUCAUGGACCAAAUCCCAUGAACCAAAACCAAACCUCAUGGACCAAAUCCCAUGAACCAAAACCAAAUCUCAUGGACCAAAUCCCAUGAACCAAAACCAAACCUCAUGGACCAAAUCCUAUGAACCAAUAACCAAAUCUCAUAAACCAAUACCCAAAUCCCAUGAACCAAUACCCAGAUCUCAUACCCAUAUCUCAUGAACCAAUUAGACUAACACAUAGAGUUUAAUAUCGAUCGGGUCUUAACACAUAUACUUAGGGCCUAAUCAACCUCAAAUCCAACUGAAUCCUAAUACAUAUACUUAGGAUUCAAUAAACCGAGACGCGAUUCAACUCAUCCCAUCUAUAAAGGUCUCCUAAUCGAUGGUACUCCAAUCUACAGAGGAUAAUUAACAAUAGAUGCUUGCAUCUAUUGGAAGCCAUGGACCCGCAAAACCUGAUAUCCACAUACAUAUAAAUACUCAUCUGAAUCAUGAAUACUACCCCACGGCCCCGAAAAUUUCAUCGACCGUGCGAGGUGCGUCAUUCGUGGUGGCAGACAGGAGGUACAUGUUUAAUCUAAUCAAAAUGCUAAAUAACAAUGUUUAGUAGUUAGAGCCUAUUGUGCCUUAAAAAAAUUGAGACAACUAAAUGUUCCCAAACAUAAAAUAAAGAGUUAAUUUCAUAUAGGUCCCUGUAAAAAUAUCAAAAUUUCAUAUUGGUCCCUAUGAAAGUAUCAAAUAGCAGAUAAAUCCCUAUAAAACUUAAGUGCUCAGAUCUAUCCUUUCCAAGAUUCUCUGGUUUGCAAAUAUAUUCAUCUAAAAUUCUGAUUCGUUCAUAUAUAUUCCUACCGUUUAAUUCAUCGUUAAUUUUUUAAUAGUGGUUGCAAAAAAUAACUAUUUUGCUCUUACAAACUUAUUUCUACAAACAAAAAAAUAAAUUUUCUCUCUUUCCUCGCGUUCACCAUAGUACGCACGACAUAUCUCAUUUCUACAGUGACCGAAUGGCGGUCUUACCAUCGCCAUGAAUAAAGAAGAGAGGGUGAAAAAGAUGAAGGGAUUCACCAUAGGAAUACAAAUUAUAGCUACAAAGAGUUAAAAAAUUAUUUUACUCAACUAAAUAUGGCUAGCUUUUUAACUCAUAGUUAUGUAAAUUUUGAUAACAAAAGGAUAUAUUUGCAAACAAAAGAAUUUUUUGGAGAGAUAAAUCUGAUAACUUAAGUUUUGUAGUGAUAUAUUUAUUAUUUGAUAUCUUUGCAGGGAGCCAGAACCAUAUGCAAUUAUUCCUAAAAUAAAAUAAAACUCUCACACAACAACACAACCCUGUAGUUUUUCUUUUCUAAGUUGGCUUAGUAGAAGAAACAUAAUGGACACCUAGAUCUUAAUAACUAGGUUUCAUUUUCUCACUUCACAUCAACAAAUGAAGCCAUGCACAACUAGACCUUGAUAAUUAGGUUUCAUUUUCAAACUCGACAUCAACAAAUAGAGCCAUGCACUAUUUAGAACAAGAAAACAGGUAUUUGAUGUUAUUUGAAAAGCAUCAAUUUUGAAUUGGUCUAGAAUGCAAACACACCAUUUCUAACCUGCUGUUGAUGGCAGGUCCUUACAACAUAACAAACAAUAACCAGGCCAUAAUUAAGUGCGACAAACGAUACUGCAUAAUAGUAAAGCACAAAUGGGGAUAAACUACAGGGGUCGACUGACCUUUUUCCUCUUUUCAUCAGAAGGUGCGAGGUCGAUCUAGACGAUCAAUUUAAUGCAACCACUUCAUCAUAUAGAAUCACAGUAAUUGAAGAUUUGAAAUUGCAGCUCGACGAUGAGUUGCAGAAGCAAAUGCAUGCAGUUCAGAGCAUUGGUUCUGUUGAUAGCAAAUUGAUGCCUGAAUGCUUUUCAGAUGGCUUCAAAGAUAAUGUAAGUUAUUAGGUUUCCUACACAAGUUCCAUUAAGCAACUUAACUAAAUUUCAAUAUACUACAUGUCAAAGUUCUAAAAAGCGGAAAGUUAUCUAAGAACUUUCUGCACCUAAGAACUGAACCAUCUUUGUAAAAUUUACUUCUGACUCAACUAUACACUGAAUCAGCCUCACAGGCAAGCAGUCCAUAACUCCGCCAGGUGAAAGUUUAA